GGAAUUAAGUUCAAGGCAUUGCCGGAUGCAUGCUUGCUUGACAUAAGAGCCUGGAAGGAAAAUGAGAAUCCAGUCAAGAAAGGUGAGUUACAUAUGCCACCACUUGAAAUCGACAACAGCACCGAAUGUCUCUUUCGAAACCUCAUGGCCUUGGAACAGUGUCGUUAUCCAACAGAAGAGUUUAUCUGCCGUUAUGUUAAGCUAUUGGAUUUUCUUGUGGACGAUAAAAAGGAUGUGGAUUUACUCAUUGAAAAUAAGGUUAUUGUUAGCAGGCUUGGUGACAGUAAAGCUGUGGCGGAGCUUAUUAACAAACUUUGCCUAGAAAUAGUAGAAGUUACUUCUGGUUAUGAUGCUCUCUCCCAACUUCUGAAUGAUUACUACGAGAGCUCUUGGAACAAAAACAAGGCAUACUUGGUUAGUGUGUAUUUCCACAAUGUUUGGAUUGGUACUGGAACUGUUAUUGGAUUAAUCAUCCUAGCCAUCACCGUGACGCGGUUUAUCCUAUUCUUUUUCCGCUAGUAUUCUAUGUUUUUGCUAUAAAGAAAAGGCUCGACCUCGACAUCUCUAUAAAAGAAGAAGACAUGGAUGCUAGUUGAGCUCCAAGCUUCUUGUUGGCUUUCCUCCAAAUAAAUUUGUAUCGCUCUGACUCACCGUGUCGCUCCUACUGUUGUGUAUGUGGCCGUGCCUGUAGAAUUUUAGUUUCCCUUGAAGUUAAUAAAUCUUGUCAUUCCUGUUGUAAGGUAACAACAACUAUUAUUGAACUUGAAGGUUUUCAUUAACAAGGAUAUUGUCAAUGUAUUGCGGUUUGCAUCAUUUCCACAUCUUUAUCGCCACUAAAUAAAACAUGUACGUAAAAUGUUUGCUCGUCUUUUUCUUCCUUUUCUUUUAGUUGCGUGGACAAAAACAAAAUGGUGCUAACCACCUGGCCUGAGAAAGAUGACAGAACCGGGUAGGAUCUGAAGUGGGGCAGCUAUACUUUAAUGCUAUACUUUAAUAAAGGUGUCAGUUUAGGUGAUCAAUCAAUGAAUUCUUAAAUAAAAUAUACGACAAAUUGCAAUGCACUUUCACAAGCUCUCGUUCGUUGGUUUCUUGAUUUUUUUUGUGUUAAAAAAGCAAACAGACCUCUAUGGGCUACAAUACAACACUGAACCUGAUGUUCGAGAAACACCGAGUUCAGUGGGCUCUCUGACACGUAAUAUUUCGAAACAUAUGAUCACGUUACUGCUUAUUGAGUUAGAUGAUCGGAACAUCUGUCAUCCGUUUCAGUCGAGUUUUUGAAUAAUUACAAGAGCUGAUAGAGUCAAGAUAUCAAAACUAUGUCAAGAUAUUUUACUAUCUGUCGUCCCCAAUUUUACAGAAUAUGCAUCCCAAAGGCACCGGAGAAAGUUCUUGUUCUUUACCUUUCAUGUUUCAUUCCCUUGCUUUUUAUGAAAAGUAGCCAGCUAAAAGUCGGACCACCUCACUUUAAGAAGAGGCCCUACUUCUUCCAUCUUCAAUGUCUUUACCCAUUUCAAGUCCUUAUCUACUCAGGCCUAUCUACUUAGGCCAUUAUUUUCAUGUGUUGCAGUGAAAAACGAAUGCAUGAUUGCAAUUUAACUUGCGGGGGUAAUUAAGAUUACAAUGUACAGACAACCUAUUCAUGGGUCCCGGGGUUCCAUGGUUUUCUUUAUCUGUAUUUAUUAGGAAGAAAAAUGACAGAACCUCGAAAGCCGAUAGAGAGGUUUUUUAGCCAAAAAUUAGAAUUUCAUCUUCACCCGAUUGACCGAUUGAUAUUGACUCAAACCAAUACGAAGUGUUAGGUUUUUAUAGAUAAUUAGCUUCUCAUGGAGAUAAUAUACAAAGUUAAUUUGUUCAUUUCAUUAAAUUUGAAAAGGUAAAUGGUAAUUUUCUAGAUUAUAGCAAGUAACUAUAAUUAAUUGAAAUGAUGGUGCUAAUUUUGGUUCACAAAAACAAAUGGAUAAUCUUGCAUAGAUCGAUAUUAGGGUGAACAAUAUUUUUUAAAAAAAUAUGAAUGAACCAAAUUAAUAUUUUGAAUUUUUUAUAAAAAAAUAAUUACCAAUUUUAAAAGAUGAAUAAAAUAUUUUUGUAAUUAUUAUUAUUAUUGUGGUUAUUAUUAUUAUUCAUAUAUUAAUAUCUCUUCAAAAAAUGUCAAAAGUAGAAACAUAUUUCCACCUAAGCCAGAAAAUAUGAAAAGAAGAAAAGAAAAGCUNNNNNNNNNNNNNNNNNNNNNNNNNNNNNNNNNNNNNNNNNNNNNNNNNNNNNNNNNNNNNNNNNNNNNNNNNNNNNNNNNNNNNNNNNNNNNNNNNNNNAAAGCAUGAUUUAUAAUCCCUUUAUUAGUGGUCAAAUGUUCUUAAUGUUGAAUCUUGUUUUUGUGUUUCAAAAAUGUAUUUUUUUAAAAAAAAAAAUUUAAUUUUUUUAUUUGUUUUAAAUUUAUUUAGAUUGUUUUGAUGUGUUAAUGUCAAAAAUAAUUUUUUAAAAAUAAAAAAUAUUAUUUUAAUAUAUUUAUAAAUAAAAAAUAUUUUUAAAAACCAAACAUUACUACACCACCAAACACCACAUUAACCAAUAUGUUAUAAAAAAUCUCAAGGGUCCAUUUCAUAGUAGUGGUAUGACACAGUUAGCAAAUUGUGUCUUUAAAUAAAAUAAAAAUAAAAAUAAAAAUAAAGUACCCAAUCCUAUCCCAGAUAGUGACUCUCCAGCUCCACCUUUAAAAUAAGCCAAGCUACCUCACCUAGUUUUCACCUAGUUUUAAAACUAUAAUAAUAACGUUUAUUCUUACGUUAACCUUGAUUAACCGGGGUUGACCCUCUAACUUUUGAUCUAGGUCUUGCCCUGGGUCAAUCAUUUAGUCGAGUUUUAAAAUUAUAAUAAUAACUAUUUUUAUCCUUAUAUUGACUUAAGUCAAUGAUUAAUCUAACAUAUGAUUGGCUGUAGGUCGACCCUCGAGUAGGGUUUUAAAAAUAUGAUACCAGCUAUCUUUUAUCCUUACGUUAAUGUGGGUCAAUGGUCAACCCGAGCCUGACCCCGAGUCAGGUUUUAAAAUUAUGAUAAUAAUUAUUUUUACCCUUACAUUAACCCGAGUCACUGAUCAACCCUACCCGAGACCGGAGCCUAGCCCCGGAUAGACCUCUAAGUAGAGUUUUGAAACUAUGAUAACAACUACUUUUGUUCUUAUGUUAACCCGGUUAAUGGUCAACCCGAUCCAUGACUCGGGCCUUGCCGUGACCUGGGUCGACCUUCUUGUCGGAUUUUAAAACUAUGAUAAUAAUCAUUUUUUAUCUUUACGUUGACCUGAAUCAACCAUGUUAUAAAUAUUAAGUGAAUAUAUAUAUAUAUAUAUAUAUAUAUAUAUAUAUAUAUAUAUAUAUAUAUAUAUAUAUAUAUAUAUAUAUAUAUAUAUAUAUAUAUAUAUAUAUAUAUAUAUAUAUAUUCCCUUUUAUUUUUAAUUUUUUUAAAAAUUCCUUUCAGAAAAACUAAAUUCAAUAAAGACAAAAAAAACCCCUAAGAUAACCCGUGCUAUUUUUAAAAUCACUAAAAAUCCCAUAGAAUCUCCGAUUAAGCAGAAGCCAAAUGAAAAAAGGGGUCUGGAUUGACUCGCUGAGUCGGUCUAAGUAAUUGAAACAAACUGCAUGUGUCGUCAGAGUAACAAUCUACAAAGCAAACAAAACAAAGUACUAUGAAACAAGCAUCUAAUGCUUAUAUUCAAUCAAUUAAUUUAAUUUAAUAAAAAGAUAAAAUUCCUUUUAAAAAUAACUAAAUUUAAUAAAGACUGAAAAAACAUGUGAUAAUCUGUGUCGUUUUUAAAAUCACUGAAAAUUAUCAUAAAUAACAAAAAAAAAAAAUGGGGCCCAAUCUCUUACUAAAUAAACACCAAAUGAAAAAGGGUCUGGAUCGACUCGUCAAGCCGGUCUGAGUUUUAGAACAAUGGAUCAUGUGAUCUUUAUAUAAAAAUGACCUUAAAAUAUAAUGAAAUUGAUAAAGUAUUAAGCUUUUAAAAAAACAAGUAAACCUUCUAAACUCGAGUUAAUCUCUCAAACUCGUAAUCCGCUAAAUUCUAGAUCUGAGUUCAAUUAAGAAGCUCAAUACCAAAUCAAUUUAACGUUGAGAGAUGAAAUAAAAAAAAGUGAACUUUAAAAGAUUUUCAAGUAAAAAAAAACCCAGGAAUGGGAGACAUAGAAUCACCAAGGCCUUUAUAUCCAAUAGUCGAAAACUAUGCAAAUAUAUUGUAAAUUGGAGUUGGUGACUACCUUUCGGCCUGGGGAAUGUAUCUAUAGAGUUCCUUCUACCAUUCGCGAUUUUAACGAAGCUGCCUAUACUCCUCAUGUGAUUUCCAUAGGGCCUAUUCUCCAGCAUGAUAACAAAGCAUUAAAAGCUGUGGAAGAUCAGAAAUGAAGAUUUAUGAAAGAUUUUUUCAGAGUGCGAAUUCAAAAGGAGAAAAGAAAAGAACAUUUGACAACACUUUUGAGCGCCAUUAAAGAUGAUGAUGCUGCCAUCCGACUUCGCUAUGUAGCUGAGAUCUCUGAGAUUUGCAGUGAGAAGUUUGUGAAGAUGAUUCUAUAUAUUCGAUGCUGUAUUCAUCUUCGAGCUCUUCUUGAGGAAUCAUGAACCUAGAAAUCGAUCAUUGUAAGAAUAGAAAAGGUUUAUGAAAAUGUUAUGGAAAAGACUUCAACGAGUGGUGAUCGAAGUCGGAAAUUUCUUAUUUUUCAAAUAGUAGGAAAAUUUUGGAGUUACAUUAAAAGUUAUGAAUCUCUAUCAUCAUCACCGUCUUCCUUUAUUAGUGGAGUGGUAAACAGAUUAUUAAUUCUAAAAUCUGAAUAUUAUGAUAUAUCUAGUGAUUUAUUUUAUAACAGUAGUGCGAUAUAAUCAACAAUUAUUUGCAUCAUUAAAUAAAAACACAAUUAUGGGCACCUCGAUGUGACAAAAAAUCUUCUCGUUUUUUUUUAAAAUCUUUUUUUUUAAAUCAAGCAGCCUUCACUUCCAAAUCAUAAAGACUUGCACUGAGGUAAAAUAGUCUUUUUCAAAUAAUCAAAAGCCAUUUAAGAAUUCAACAUGGGCAAUAAGAUCUUUAUACUUUUAUUUUGCACUAUGAAAUUAAUUCAUCACUCUUAAAAGUAAAAAAUUCUAAACCUUGGUUUAGGGACUUUAUUGUCUAUUUAGGUUUUUUUAAAUAGUAAAAUUAAUAAUUUAACACUAGUGCUAAAAAAACAACAUUCAUGGAAUUUUUAGUCCUUUUCUUAAUUUAAACUCAAUUAAAUUAUUUCAUUGCCCUUUAAAUUUUUAAAAAUCUUGCCCUUUAAUUUGCGGUUACUUUACUCUUUUACGUUUGGUUAUUUUGUUAUACUUGGUUUCAUUAGAGGCAAUAUUGUUAUUUGCUAAAUAAGAAAAUAAAAAAGAUUGAGGGCACGUGUAUAGUAACCACAACUUUCAAAUAAUAUGUUCGGCACCGUCCGGUGGUCGAAUGCAUGCUUCUGAGGCGGCGACCAAAGCAUCUUGGCAACCCUUGCAUGAUUAGUUGGCGUAUAUGGUCUAAUUGUUUUUGGCUUGACAUAUGUGACAUUUUUUUUUCUAUAAUUAUUUUUAUAUAACGAUAUAUCUAUAUCUAAUUAGUUUUGUUUAAAAUUAUGUCAUAUUCCGAGUGUGUCAACUUAAUGCAAAUACAAUUAUUGUUUUUAGACAUGCACAAGUAUUAAAAAUGCAGUGUUUAGUUCAACAAAUCCAACGGCCAACGAAUUUCAGUAUAAAAAAAACAAGAAAGAAAAUACAAAAUACAAUUAUGGCUGCAACUUUCCUGGACAUGAAAUUAGAGAAAGAUAAGUAGAAAUUGUAUAAUAAUGCUGGGCACAAACUCGGCUUGGUUUAUCGCUGUGUUUGAUAAUUUAUUAUGAUUUAUUUUUUAAAUUAAAAAUAUAUUAAAAUAAUUUUUAAUAUUAAAAAUAGAUCAAUUUAAUAUAUUUUUUUAGAUAAAAAAUAAAAUUAUUUUUGCUAGGAGAAAGUUACUAGCACUAAGAUUUGAAAUUUAGCCACUUGAAUUCUGGGUUUAUUUUUAUACACGGUGAAAAUUAUAAUUUAAAAAAACAUAAAAACAAUAUUUGUUUUAGCUUGAAAUACAAAUAAAUGCAUAGAAAAACAAGCAGCAGUACCGCAAUAAAUAUACCUGUGGUGGGAUUGUUGAACGAACCAUUAAAAGCCAACUACCAGUAAACCCAACCACAUACGGAUUUUUGUUUUAUCACCACAAUGAUAAAUACAAUUAGAUAUUUAUGAUUUCUUUUUGGCUAAACAGCUUAAACCUCUGGGAAUGUUAACCCAUUUAUUAUUUAAAAUCAGAUUCUUUUAUCAAAUAUUAUAUGUUCAUUCAUUAAAAAACUCUAACACGUGAAAGUCACUUGUAAAUUAAUCUAAACCCUUUAUUUAUUAUUUAUUUUUAGAUAUCUAUUUUAAGUGUACGGUGAAUGAAGUACCAAAAGUGAUUGAUUCAAGUAGUUUUGAGUUCGAGUCUUAUAAAUAUAGUAUAUUAUUGUUGGGAAAGCUUCAUCUUUUAAUGGAUCAACCUUACUCAAUGAAAUUAACUGGGUCUAGUGGACUUUCAGAUUUUAGGAUUUAAAUAAAAAUAUAUACAUGAUAAUACAAUGAUUUUUCUAAUUUAUUUCUCACUAUCUAAUUUUUUUUUGAAAAAAACAGCAACGGAAAACGCCAGUAAUUUCAGAACUAGCCACCGAAACAUCAUUAAAUCAGAUUUCAUUAAAUCGGGCAUCAAUUGGCAUUGCAAUCAUCCAACUAAAAAACGCCAAUAAUUUAUUUCAUUUGUCCCUCUCGGUCAUGGUCAUGGCAACCCCCUGUAGCAUAGUCAAAAGGUCGCUUUUUUAUGCUCCACAAGAACACCUUCAUCCUUUUCCUUUUCUUUCUACCCUCCCUGUCUAACCUCUUCCUUUCCUUCAUUUUUUUUUCUUGGGACGAGUGCCCAGCUGGACCCAUACAAGUGUGACUAAAGGAAAGAGCUGUCCAUGAAUUAUUAGUGAAGUGAAAUGCAUGUUUUUCGAACCAAGCCCCACUGAGCUCGAGAUAUUUAGUCUGCUGGUCGCUGUUUUGAGUCCACUUCAUUAUCAGUACAAAUAAGAUUCAAUUUUUAUUGUCUAGCAGCCACAAUUUUAGUUUUGUUGUGAAAAAUCGUGGUCUCUCAAGUUUUUAUUCAUUCAAAUUUGGUCAUCAAUCUUCACUUUUUUUUAACUUCACCAUCAAAAGUUAUAAUAUUUUUGUCCUACAUGUUAUCACGCAUCCGAGCAAUAAGAGAUUGUUUCGGGGUUAAAUGAUAGGUCAAUUUUACAUCAUAUAAUUCUUAGUUAUUGUUAAAAAUAAUAUUAAAAAAACAAGGAUUAAAAUUGAUAUCGAUAAAAAUCAACUACCUUUCCCAUCAAUACUGUUCAAUACAUGCAUAAAUUUACAUUUUAAUUAUUUAUACUUGGUCCGUUCUAUUUUUGGAUUUUUUGUUUAGCUUCCAAACUUUAUUUUUUUAUGUUUCAAUCCUUAUAUCUCGAGAUAGGAGAGAGAAGCUCUUGAGGUUGGAUUCCGAACACUAAUAUUUUUGAUUUUGGUGUUUAUGAAUUCAACUUUGAUAGAUGAGCUCAAUAAAGGUGGUCUUCACCUUCAGUAACAACGAAAAAAGUAGAUUCGAUCUUAAUUUUUUUUUAUUUGAUCUAAUUUUGAGUUUUUAGAUCAAUUAGAAUGCUUUUAUUUUAUUUUUUGGAUGAAAAAAGUUUGAAAUCUUGAUUUUUAAGGUAAAAAAACCUUGGACAUUGAUCUUUUGUUAAUCAAAGACACCUCAAACGAUGGAAAAAAAUGGAAAAUAAGUGACGAUCAUUUAUCUAUUUUAAAAAGACAAUAAAGGGUAAACAAUAAAAAAAAAUCUUUUAACCUUUAAAAAUUAAAAUUAAAAACCCGGUGUACGAGCUUGGACUUUUAGGCCCAGGCAUGCUUGGAUUUUAACAUGGGCUAGAUGAUGGACCUAUUUCCCCACCCCAUAUGAGCAUGACCCUUCAUUUGUUUUUAAUUUUAUUGUUUUUUCUUUGAAUUUUAUAAUUAAAUUCUUUUUAAAUAAACUUAUUUAUAUAAUAUUUAAAUAAUUGUCCAAUUAUGCCAUUGUUUUCAAAGAAUAUUAGCUUAUUUUAUGAUAAUAUCAACAAUUGGUUUUUGAAUAAUUAUAUAUGAACUUAAUAUGCAUAUUUUUUAAAAAAAUUUAGAUGAAAUAUCUAUUUUUUUUUAUAAUUUUUAUGCAAUCUUUUCAAGUUUAUUAUUCUUAUAUUUUCGUAAUACAUUUGUGUCAAAACCACCACUUUAUAAUUGUUUUAAUAAAAAAUUACUUUUAAGAGUAUGAUAAGUUUUUAUUAAAAAUAACUAUUUCUGAUUAAAGAAAUUGUAAAAAAGAAUGCAUCAAUAAGGGAAAUGAUCAGUUUUGAUUAAAUAUAUAUAUAUUUUUAUAUUUAUUUCAAAUCGUUAUAAUUUUUUUUAUAUUGAUUUUAAUUGCUCUUAGUUUUUAUACAAUAAACAACAUGACUAGAAAAAACAUAUAUAUUUUUAAUAAAUUAAUACUAGAAAGAGGAUUUAUACUAAUAAUUAUAUUUUCCUAUGAAAUUUAAAUUAUUACUUUUUCUUUACAAAAAUCCAUUUUUUUCAUAUAAUUAAAUAUUUUUUUUAAAGAUAUGAGAUCAAAUAUCUUUAUAGGCAUCAAUCUUUUAAUUUUUCGCUUUAGUUUUUAGUUAGUAGUAACAACUUUUUUUUAUGUUUUAUUGGUUCAUAUAUUUUUCAAUUUAUUUUAUUAAACUUAAGCAUUAACUUACCAAAAUAAUAUCAUUUUAGUUUUUUUAAAUUUUUUCUAAAACAAUAUUGUUUAGGAUAAAAACUAAAUAAAAACAUAAUAAAUCAGGGCCAACUUUGUCAUCUAAAGGGUGACCCACUCAAUUCAUAACCUAAAUCUUAAAUCUUAUAAUUAUGGUAAUAAAUCAUCAUGGUCUAAAUUGACCACAAAAAAUUAUUCUUAUUUUUUUGAACAACUUGAACAUUAAAAAUUGACCACAAAAGAUUUGCAGGGAUAAUUAUGGCCGAUAAAAAAAGGCUAAGUGCAAGAAAAGGUCUAUGUUGCAUAGAAUGACUAACUUAAUAAAAUGUCUCUUAACUUUCAAUCCAAACGUUAAAUUAUGCUUGAAUUUUACAAAUAGGUUCCAAAAACUAGGUUUAUAGGGGCUAGCUUGGUGUAACUGGUGUAGAUUCAGAAGGAUUCCAAAUUAGACUUGUAAGGUUUUGUUUGGGUUAGAGAAACAAACUGUUUUUAAAAAAAUAAAUUUUAAUUUUUUUUUUUUAUGUUUAUGAUAUUCGGUGAAAUUCUUGUUAUUUCAUUUGUACUUCUUAUUUUUAUUUUUACAGUAACCCUAUUCAACAAAAUCGUAUCAAUGGUGCGUGAAUUGAUACCAGCGUUGCGUCACCAUGGAUGCGUCACCGGGGGUCAACCCGCUGUACCCCCAAGGUCUGAUAGCUGUAUAAAAGAGUGCUAUUACCUUACUGAAGAGCAUCACAAAACACACAGAGAGAGAGAGAGAGACUGCGUUCAACGUAUCAGUAUAGCUUCGAGGAAAUCUAGAGCCUCCUGCUUCUCAGGUUAAGGUACUUGGGUUCUUCAUGCACUGGUUUUUUCUCCUGUUCAUACUCCCUUGUUUCAUUAAUUAUUUUUGUUCCAACAACUGAGAACGUUUAAAGCUCCCAAAUUAUUAAUUUCAGUGUUACAAAGCUCACAUGGUAUGCAUUACCAAUAAACCUUCGAUCACCUUUGUACCCUGAAAUGGUCAGGGUUUUCGCCUUUCCCCCACUUACUUUCCAAGGGAUGAAGUUCGGUUAUAGUUUUUUUAUUUUUUAUUACUCCAUGUAUUCCUAUUAAAGUUUGGUUGCAGUUCUUUUUUUCUAGAUCAAAACACUAGGCUGCUAGCUGCUUGUUUGUUUUAGUACCUUCUCCUUCUUCUAGCUAACUUGGGGCAACUGCAUGAUGCUUGAGGAAGAACUCUUGGCUGUACAUAUACAAUAUCUAGGUUCAGAAACCUCCAAUAUCCAUGAUAUAUGGAACAUUAUGCUAAAACCCUGAACCGUGUAUUUUACUAGAAAAUCUAAUUUGGCUUGUUUGGUUAGUAGAAGAAACCGAGCAAGCAACUAGUUGCUCCAAACGAACCACCGCGAUAAAAAGUUUGAGAUGUCAUGAAAGCCAGACUCCUGAUAAAUUUGAUGUUCUGCAUAGUAUUGACUUAUAGACCGGAGUAUAAUUUAUAUAUAGAAUUCGAUGUUUUGAGAUGCCAUGAAAGUUUUUGCUAGUGAGUAUGCAUAGAAUUAUUUUGAGAAGUUAAUUUUAUAGCUAGUGGUGACUCUUGUUUUAUUUGUCAUGCGAGCAGAAAACUUCCACAAAUGGAAGAAAAUGAAUUAUCAAACUCUAUGAAUCAUAAUGAAAAACCAUGCAAAGAUAUUGCAAUUGAAAUUCCAGAGGACUUAAUUCCAAAGGACUUGGAGACUACCUUUCGGCCAGAGGAAUGUAUCUACAAAGCUCCAGCUGCACUUUGCGAUUCAAACAGAGCUUGCUACACUCCUCGGGUAAUUUCUAUAGGUCCUUUUCACCAUGGUAGUGAAAAACUGAUGCCUAUGGAAAUUCAGAAACAAAGAUAUCUGAAAGAAUUCUGUAAGAGAUUGCGAGGGAAAACAAAGGAGUCUUUGAAAGUACUUUGGAGAACCAUUGAAGAUCUUGAAGAUGACAUCAAACGCCGUUAUGCAGCUAAUACCUUUGAUUUUUCUAGAGAUCAGUUUGUGAAGAUGAUUCUGUUCGAUGCAGUGUUCAUCUUCGAGCUCUUCUUGAAGAAUGAAGAAGAUAUGCGCGAUAACCAACGAUAUCAAGAUGAUUUCGUCAUAGGCAAACCCUGGCUGAGAGCUGCGAUUCAACGGGACUUGAUAUUGCUUGAAAAUCAGCUUCCAUUCUUCAUUCUCGAGAAAUUAUACAGCCUUGCCAUCGAGGAAACAAAGCCCGAUUAUCGUUCUUUUCUGGACCUUUCCUGCCGCUACUUUGAGAAGUACGGUAAGAACAAAACCAAGCCUUAUAACGUGUUGCAUUUCACUGAUUUGGUAAGACAUUUUCUAUCCUUCAAGCACCCGCAGUUAGAAUCACCAGAUGGAAAGCAAAUUAAAAAUCUUUAUAGCGCAACCAUGCUGCACCAAGCAGGAAUUAAGUUCAAGGCAUUGCCGGAUGAAUGCUUGCUUGACAUAAGAGCCUGGAAGGAAACUGAGAAUACAGUCAAGAAAGGUGAGUUACAUAUGCCACCACUUGAAAUCGACAACAGCACCGAAUGUCUCUUCCGCAACCUCAUGGCCUUGGAACAGUGUCAUUAUCCAAGACAAGAGUUUAUCUGCCGUUAUGUUAAGCUAUUGGAUUUUCUUGUGGACGUUGAAAAGGAUGUGGACUUGCUCAUUGAAAAUAAGGUUAUUGUUAGCAGGCUUGGUGACAGUAAAGCUGUGGCGGAGCUUAUGAACAAACUUUGCCUAGAAAUAGUAGAAGUUACUUCUGGUUAUGAUGCUCUCUCCCAACUGCUGAAUGAUUACUACGACAGCUCUUGGAACAAAAACAAGGCAUACUUGGUUAGUGUGUAUUUCCAAAAUGUUUGGAUUGGUACUGGAACUGUUAUUGGAUUAAUUAUCCUAGCCAUCACCGUGACGCGGUUUAUCCUCUUCUUUUUCCGCUAGUAUUCUGUGUUUUUGCUAUAAAGAAAAGGCUCGACCUCGACAUCUCUAUAAAAGAAGAAGACAUGGAUGCUAGUUGAGCUCCAAGCUUCUUGUUGGCUUUCCUCCAAAUAAAUUUGUAUCCCUCUAUGACUCACUGUGUCGCUUCUACUGUUGUGUAUGUGGCCGUGCCUGUAGAAUUUUAGUUUCCCUUGAAGUUAAUAAAUCUUGUCAUUCCUGUUGUAAGGCAACAACAACUAUUAUUGAACUUGAAGGUUUUCAUUAACAAGGAUGUCAGUGAAUUGCGGUCUGCAUCAUUUCCACAUCUUUAAUAUCGCCAUUAAAUAAAACAUGUACGUAAAAUGUUUGCUCGUCUUUUUCUUCCUUUUCUUCUAGUUGCGUGGACAAAAACAAAAUGGUGCUAACCACCUGGCCUGAGAAAGAUGACAGAACCGGGUAGGAUCUGAAGUGGGGCAGCUAUACUUUAAUGCUAUACUUUAAUAAAGGUGUCAGUUUAGGUGAUCAAUCAAUGAAUUCUUAAAUAAAAUAUACGACAAAUUGCAAUGCACUUUCACAAGCUCUCGUUCGUUGGUUUCUUGAUUUUUUUUGUGUUAAAAAAGCAAACAGACCUCUAUGGGCUACAAUACAACACUGAACCUGAUGUUCGAGAAACACCGAGUUCAGUGGGCUCUCUGACACGUAAUAUUUCGAAACAUAUGAUCACGUUACUGCUUACUGAGUUAGAUGAUCCGAACAUCUGUCAUCCGUUUCAGGCGCCGAGUUUUUGAAUUACAAGAGCUGAUGGAGUCAAGAUAUCAAAACUAUGUCAAGAUAUUUUACUAUCUCUCGUCCCCAAUUUUACAGAAAAUGCAUCCCAAUGGCACCGGAGAAAGUUCUUGUUCUUUACCUUUCAUGUUUCUUUCCCUUGCGUUUUAUGACAAGUAGCCAGCUAAAAGUCGGACCACCUCACUUUAAGAAGAGGCCCUACUUCUUCCAUAUGCAAUGUCUUUUCCCAUUUCAAGUCCUUAUCUACUUAGGCCAUUCUUUUCAUGUGUUGCAGUGAAAAACGAAUGCAUGAUUGCAAUUUGACUUGCGGGGGUAAUUAAGAUUACAAUGAACAGACAACCUAUUCAUGGGUCCCGGGGUUCCAUGGUUUUCUUUAUCUGUAUUUAUUAGGAAGAAAAAUGACAGAACCUCGAAAGCCGAUAGAGAGGUUUGUUAGCCAAAAAUUACAAUUUCAUCUUCACCCGAUUGACCGACUGAUAUUGACUCAAACCAGUACGAAUUAAUUUUUAGGUUUUUAUAGAUAAUUAGCUUAUCGUGGAGAUAAUAUACAAAGUUAAUUUGGUCAUUUCAUUAAAUUUGAAAAGUCAAGUUGUUUUAAGAUGUAAAUGGUAAUUUUUUAGAUUAUAGCAAGUAACUAUAAUUAAUUGGAAUAAAAAAUACCACCAAAAGACAGGGACGUCACACGUUACGUGCCACCUAAUCUUACUAUUCUCUUUAAUUCUUUGAAAUGAUGGUGCUAAUUUUUGUUUUCAAAAACAAAUGGAUAAUCUUGCAUAGAUAUUAGGGUGAACAAUAUUUAAAAAAAAAAUAUAAAUUAACUGAAUUAAUAUUUUUAAUUUAUUAUAAAAAAAUAAUUAUUAAUUUUAAAAAGAUAAAUAAAAUAUUUUUGUUAUUAUUAUUGUUGUUAUUAUUCAUAUACAAAAAUGUAAAAAGUAGAAACAUAUUUCCACGCAUCAUUUGAUUUUUAAAGAUAAGUAGAUAAGUUAAGCCAGCAAAUACGAAAAGAAGAAAAGAAAAGCUAAUAAACCCGUUUGUUUUUCCAAUGUUUUUUUUUUAUAUUUAUUUUUUGGAAAUUCCUAAAGCAUUGAUUUUAUGAUCCUUUCAUUAGUGGUUAAAAUUUUUUAAUUUUGAAACCUGUUUAUUUUUAAAUUUUAAAAAUAAUUUUUAAAAAAAUAAUUUUUUUUUAUGUUUUCAAAUUGUUUUGAUGUGUUGAUAUCAAUUUUUUUUUAAAAAAUAAAAUAAAUAUUAUUUUAAUAUAUUUUUAAAUAAAAAAUAUUUUAAAAAAAAAUAAUACUUACCACCACCGAAUACCACAUUAAUCCAAUAUGUUAUAACAAAUCUCAAGUGGUCCGUUCCAUAGUAGUGGCAUGACACAGUUAGCAAUUGUGUCUUUAAAUAAAAUAAAAAUAAAAAUAAAAAUAAAAAUAAAGUAGCCAAUCCUAUCCCACAUAGUGACUCUCCAGCUCCACCUUUAAAUAAGUCGAACUACCUAACCUAGUUUUAUUAGCGACUUUUGAAACGGGAAUAUGCCUUUAUAUACUAUAUAAUGCCUUUAUAUAGUAAGUGACAUCAUAUUUCUUUUCCUUUUCUUUUUAUUGAACAAUCGUCAACUUUCUCACACAGAGAUUAAAUUCAUAUUUCUGAUCCAAUAAAAAACAAGUUAUUUAUACAGAUCUUAAUGUAUCAUUUAGUAUGUUGGAGAAUAUUAAUUGAACCUAAUUGUCUCGUGUGUAUUGAAUAAUUUAUCUUAAUAUAAUUUUAAUAAAUACUAAACGAGACUCAGUCAAGCUUAGAUUUGAACCAAUUCAGAUUAAAAAAAAAAUAGAAAAAGAAUUGGUCAGAUCUAACCUAAUAAAAAAAUUCUAAUCGACUUGCAACUCGGUCGACAUUAGAGAAAACACGAGUAUAUAAGAAAUCCAAUGAUUUAUUUUUGGUUAAAAUAAGAUUGUUUUGAUUUUUUUUUUAAAUUUAGAUCAACUUGUUUGACCCUCCUAUCACGUGACCCAAACCUUACCUCGAGUUGACCUUCAAGUUAGGUUUUAAAGCCAUGAUAAUAAUCAUUUUUAUCCAUAUAUUGACUUGGAUCAACCUGAGUUGACCUUCUAGACUAGUGACCUAAGCGUUGCCCUACAUCGACCUCCAAGUUAGGUUUUAAAACUAUAAUAAUAAUGGUUAUCUUUACGUUGACCUUAAUCAACCCGGGUUGACCCUCCAACUUGUGAUCUAGGUCUUGCCUUGGAUCGAUAAUUUAGUCGGGUUUUAAAAUUGUAAUAAUAACUACUUUUAUCCUUAUAUUGACUUGAGUCAAUGAUUAACUUGACCCGUGACUGACCCCAGUCAACCCCCAAGUAGGGUUUUACAACUGUGAUACUAACUAUCUUUUAUCCUUACAUUGAUGUGGGUCAAUAAUCAACCUAACGCGUAACUCGGGCCUGACCCCGAGUCAGGUUUUAAAACUAUGAUAAUAAUUACUUUUACCCUUACAUUGACAUGAGUCACUAAUCAACCCUACCCAAGACCGGGGCCUAACCCUGAGUCGACCCCUAAGUAGGGUUUUGAAAUUAUGAUAACAAUUACUUUUAUUUUUAUGUUGACCUGAGUUAAUGGUCAACCUGAUCCAUGACUCGGGGCCUUGCUCCAACCUGAGUCAACCUCCUUGUCGGGUUUUAAGACUAUGAUAAUAAUCAUUUUUAUCUUUAUGUUGACCUGAAUUAACCAUGUUAUAGAUAUUAAGUGAAAAUAUAUUUUUUCUUUUUUUCCUUUUCUUUUAAUUUUUUAAAAAUUCCUUUCAGAAAAACUAAAUUCAAUAAAGAUAAAAAAAACCCUGAGAUAACCCGUGUUAUUUUUAAAAUCACUAAAAAUCCCAUAGAAAGUGAAAAGAAAAUAGAGUCCAAUCUCCAAUUAAAUAAAAACAGAAUGAAAAAAGGGGUCUGGAUUGACUCACCAAGUCGGUUUGAGUAACUGAAACAAAUCACAUGCGUUGUUAGAGUAGCAACCUAUAAAACAAACAAAACAAAGUACAAUGAAACAAGUAUCUAGUGCUUAUAUUCAAUCAAUUAAUUUAAUUAAAUAAAAAAAUAAUUUUUUCUUAAAAAAAACUAAAUUUAAUAAAAACCCAAAAAAACAUGUGAUAAUCUACAUUAUUUUUAAAAUGACUGAAAAUUAUCAUAGAAAGCGGAAAAAAUGUGGCCCUAUCUCCAACUAAAUAAACAUAGAAUGAAAAAGGGUCUGGAUCGACCCGUCAAGUCGGUCCGAGUUUUAAAACAAUGGGUCAUGUGAUCUUUAUAUAAGAAUGACCUUUAAAAAUGAUGAAAUUGAAAAAAAUAAGUUAAAAAAAAUUAGUAAAUUCGGGUGAACCUUUUAAACCCGGGUUAAUCUCUUAAAUCCGUACCCCGUUAAAUCUUAGAUCCGAGUUCAAUCAAAAAACUCAAUACCAAACUAAUUUAACGUUGAGGAAUAAAUUAAAAAAAAAAUUCAACUUUAAAAGAUUUUCAAGGAAAAAAAAAUCCACAAAUGGGAGACAUUGAAUCACGAAGGCCUUUAUAUCCAAUAGUCGAAAACUAUGCAAAUAUAUUGUAAAUUGGAAUUCCAGAUGAGUUGGUGACUACCUUUCGGCCCGAUGAAUGUAUCUAUAGAGUUCCUUCUACCCUUCGCGAUUUUAACGAAGCUGCCUCUAUUCCUCAGGUGAUUUCAAUAGGGCCUAUUCGCCAGCAUGAUAACAAAGCAUUAAAGGCCGUGGAAGAUCAGAAAUGGAGAUAUAUGAAAGAUUUUUUCGGAGUGCGAAUUAAAAAGGAGAAAAGGAAAGAACGUUUGACAACACUUUUGAGCGCCAUUAAAGAUGAUGAUGCUGCCAUCCGACUUCGCUAUGUAGCUGAUAUCUCUGAGAUUUGCAGUGAAAAGUUUGUGAAGAUGAUUCUAUAUAUUCGAUGCUGUAUUCAUCUUCGAGCUCUUCUUGAGGAAUCAAGAACCUAGAAAUCGAUCCUUGUAAGAACAGAAAAGGUUUAUGAAAAUGUUAUGGAAAAGACUUCAACGAGUGGUGAAGUCGGAAAUAUUUUCGUAUUUUUCAAAUAGUAGGAAAAUUUUGGAGUUACAUUAAAGUUAUGAAUCUCUAUCAUCAUCAUCAUCAUCUUCCAAGAAAUACAUUUCACAUUUCCUUUAUUGGUGGAGUGGUAAACGGAUUAUAAAUUCUAAAAUCUGAAUAUUAGGAUAUAUCUAGUGAUUUAUUUUAUAACAGUAGUGCGAUAUAAUCAAUAAUUAUUUGCAUCAUUAAAUAAAAAUAACACAAUUAUUGACACCUCGAUGUGACAAAAAAUCUUCUUGUUUUUUUUUUUUUUAAAAUUUUAAAUCAAGCAGCCUUCACUUCCAAAUCAUAAAGACUUGCACUGAAAUAGAAUAGUCUUUUUUAAAUAAUCGAAAGUCAUUUAAGAAUUCAACAUGGGCAAUAAGAUCGAUCUUUAUACUUUUAUUCUGCACCAUGAAAUAUAUAUAUAUAUAUAAUUUUAUUCUUUUUGAGUUUUUUCCCUAUCAAUAUAAUCCUCUUUUUAUUAUUGCUAUUUCUUAUACAUUGAAAAAAAUUCUAUGGUUUUAUCCUUUAACAUUUAAUUGGUCGAAUGUUUAGUUUCUUAAUUAAGUUUUUAUCUAGAUUUUAAUAGACUGUAGAUUUGAGAGAUUAACCUGGGUUCACUUGUUUUUUUUUUUUUGUCAUUUUUAAGCUUUUUUUUCAUCCUCCAACAUAUAUUUUUUUUUGCUUUCUAUAGGAUUUUUUGGUCGUUUUGUUUUGAAAAUAACAUGAGUUACCUCGAGUUUUUUUUUCGAUCUUUGUUAAAUUUAGCUUUUUUAAAAGGAAUUUUAUUUUUUUGAUUAAAUUAAAUUAAUUUAUUUCAUCAUUCGACAUUAAACUGGUCAAGUGUUGAGUCUUCUUUGGAUGAGGCCAGAUCUAGAAUUUAACAGGUUGCGGGUUUGAGAGAUUAACCUGAGUUAAUCUGGGUUUAAGAGGCUCACCUGAGGUUUUUUUUUAAGCUCUUUUUUUUUUGUUUCAUCUUCCAACAUUGUUUUGCUUCUUCUUCUUUAUUUUUUCUAUAGGAUUUUUUAAUCAUUUUGAAAAUAACAGGGGUUAUCUUGAGUUUUUUUUUUCUUUGUUGAAUUUAAAUUUUUUAAAAGAAAUUUUGUUUUUGAAUCAAAUCAAAUUAAUUGAUUAAAUAUAAAUAUGAAAUGCUCGUUUCAUGAUAUUUUAUUUUUAAAUUAAAUUAAAUUAAUUUAUUUUAUCAUUCGACAUUAAACUGGUCAGGUGUUGAGUUUUCUUGAAUGAGUCCGGGUCUACAAUUUAAUGGAUUGCGAGUUUGAGAGGUAACCCGGGUUUAAGAGGCUCAUCUAAGUUUUUUUUUUUUUUUUUAUCUUUCAACAUUGUUUUGUUUUGUUUUGUUUUGUUUUUUUUACUUUCUAUAGAAUUUUUUAGUCAUUUUAAAAAUAAUACGGGUUAUCUUGAGUGUUUUUUGCCUUUGUUGAAUUUAACUUUUUUUUAAAAAAAUUUAUUUUUGAAUUAAAUUAAAUUAAUUGAUUAAAUAUAAAUAUAAAAUAUUCAUUUCAUGGUAUUUUAUUUUAUUUUCUUUAUGGGUUAUUGCUCUCACAUUGCAUGCACUCCAUUCAAAUUACCUAAAAUCUUAAAUAUUUUUUACUUCUUUGGGAGAAAACUAAAUGUCACAAGAAUAUUUUUUUAUUAUUGAAAAAAAAAAAAUAAAUCCCGAUUUGCACGUAGCGCAUGGCUUGUAGCUGGUUAUGACUAUGCUUAAAAGUGGAGAUACCUUACGUGAAGAUGUUUACGUCCUAUAUAUUAUUCAUUUCUUAUUAUCAAAAGCUGUACUAUAGAGUAUAUACUACAUACUAGCAUGAGCUAUAUUCCCCUUUGAUAUUUUAAAGCAGAUUCCCUACCUACCUAAGCAUAAUACAUGGUAGGUCACAUAUCUUUAUCUGUACCCCCACAUUAAUUAAUUAUAAAUUAUAUUUUCCGUUGAUAUUUUAAAGCAGAAUAUUCCCUACAUGGGAGCUCACAUAUCUAUAUGUGUAUACCCUACAUUAAUUAUUUAUAAUAGUCACGAAAAUGAUAUUGAAACAAUUUUAUUUUAAAAAGGAACAUUUACAUAUGUUACCAACAUUAUUUACAACCAAUUGCAUUAAGAAAAAAAAUAUAAAUAUUAUGAAAUAAAGAAAAAAUGGUGAAUAUAUGAAAUGUGAAAAUGAGAGAAGAAAAAAACCUUCUUUUUUAAAAGAAACCAGGAUUGAUGGUUGUAUUUGGAAGCCUUAACACAAUUGUGACUAGAUGAAAGAUUAUGUGUAAAAAAAUCCAAGUAGCUUGGGAGCAAGAUUUAUAUAUUGGAUAAUCGAUUAAUCUCUUGAUUAUAGUAAUCUAAUUAAUUUUCUUUAAUUAAGGUGGUUUUUGCCUGGUGUUUGGUAAGUCAAGACGGUUGGUGGCCGAUACUUGUAAAAAGUUAUCUUUGAUGAAUUUAGAGACUCUUUAAUGCGUAAGUAAAUAUCUUUUUGAGAAAAAAACAAUGAUAUUUUUUUAUAGAAACUCUGAAAAUAAAUACGCUGUCGAGAAUGAAGAUUCAAAACCCUAUUUUUUAAAGAUCCAUAGUAUAUUUAUAGCUUGUGAACCAUGUCAUUUUUAUUUUUUUUUGGAGAGGAGAGGCUGGAAAUUCAUCUUGCUCAAAUAGCAUUGGAGGUGGAUAAAAAAUCUCUUAUAUGUCAUUAAUGAGGUAUAAAUAUCUUUUAUACAUUAUUAAUAAAUGAUAAAUAUUAGAUUUUUCUAAAAACUUCUAUGCAUUUAAGGGUGUAAAGAGAUAAGUACCCUUGAUCUUAACAUUUUAUGUUAGGUCUAGUGGAUUGUCCGACCCACAUGUACUUAGGCUCAUCACGUAGCACAACCUAGAGAUGUUGGGUGUGGCAGAUUACUAGACCCAUAUGUAUAUUGGUUCAGCACAUAACUGAACGCACAUGUACCUGAGCUCAAUGCGUAGCUGAGUCUAAAGAUGUUGGUUGGUCUUUUUUAAACAUGGAUUUUUAAAAAAAGAUAACAUGUAUAAAACUUGAUUCAGAAUUAAUACCGUUCAAUUAGUAUAACAUAUUUAAAUUUAUAUAAUGUGUUUUAUUGUUAAUAGGAUACGUACUUGGAUAAUGAUAUUAUGACUUUAAAACUUAAUUUAUUUAAUUGUGUUUAAGAUAAUAUUUUGAUAACAAGAAACCAUACAUAUCAAGUAGCUUUUACCAAUGAAGUUAAAUCACCUUCAAGGGGAUAAAAAAAAAAAAACUACUGCAAUUGUAAAACAUGCAAGAUGACAGCAAAAAAAAAACCUUCCACCGUAUAAUUAAUGAACACAUGGCAAUUACCUUGAGUCCGCGAGUGCUCUUUGCCUUCCCUCAAUUGUGUGACGUCCUAAUUUGCCUCAGCUGAAUGACAUAAUAUAUUCUCUAAUCAUCACCUAACUACUCUCUACUCACCAAAAAAUUAAAAAAAAAAAAAGAGAAAAGAAACUCAUUUGACGUAUUGCUGAAACUUAAGUUUAUUUUUUAUUUUUAAAUUAACAUGGAUGUCCAGGUCAACUUACAUACACCUUGAUUAAUUUCACGGGUCCUGAAGUUAACGACUAUAUAAAUCUCCAGUGACUUUAAGAUUUACAGAACUUGAACCGAUGAUCUCUAGAAAACAAAUAUAAAAUCUGAACAAUUAAGUUACAUCCCUCGGAAUUUUCUUAAAUAAAUUUUCAAUGAAGGCCUUCGAGAGUCUAAGGUCAAGGGUAAGGUUGUCCCCAUGUGUGAACUGUUAUUUUUGUUUCUUUACAUUAAUAUGAUGAAAUGAAAAUUAAAUAUUGUUCUUCUGGUGUUGUAAUUAGUGUAAACAACUCUAGGCAAUGCCUUUUUAUUAUUCUUACAAGAGGCUAAGGUGCUCCCAUAUUUUUGUUCUUUUGCUAUGCAUAUAUAGAAAAGUGGAUAAUUGAACAUUUGGUAAAUAAAAACAAAUUAUGUGGAAAUAUUUUAUUGAAGUGUUUUCCUUGCACAUGGGCCAACUGUAAUAGAGAGAAAAAAAUUUUGGCAUAAAAUAGAAAUUGUUUUGGAACGUAUUAAUUAAAAUAUUGACACCAACAAUCAAUUAAAGAUGCUCUUAAUUAAUUAAUUCUUACAUUAGUGAAAUAAAUUAUGAGAGUAAUGGAGAGGGGAGGACUCCUCCUCCUAUAUAUAACAAGCACAAGGGGCACAAGUUACAGAGAAUGGAAGUGUGAGAGAGGCUGCCAUUUUCAGCAAAAGCAGUGUAUAUUGCGUCCAGGAUCAGAGGAAGCUCUGCUGUUUGAUCCCCAUUUGUAAAAUAUUAUUACUGUUUUUCACAGGCCAGGUACUCGGUUUCUCUGUGUUUUUUUUCCCUUUCAUUAUUUUUAUUCAGCAUAUAAUUUCUUUUUAUUUCAAUAAAGCUAGUUUUUAAAUUACUGCAUGAUGUAAGUUGUCUAAUUAGUUAACCUUGUUGAUUAAAUAUAAGUUGUCUAAUAAAACUCAUUAAUUAAAUAAAUUACCAUGAGCAACCUGACCCUACCCUCGUGUGAAUAUCGGGUUUAAUGAUUAAUUAAGAGUAUCUUUUAAAAAAAAUGAUUAAUUAAGAGGUAUACUCCUUUCCUUGUUAAUUAUUGAGUUUAAGUUGGUUUAGUUUGUAAGUAAAUAAAAAAAAAUAAAUUUUAUCUCGUAUUAAAAAUAAUUUUUUUAAAAUGUAAAUUUUUAUUAUAUAGUAAAUUAAGUGAAAAUUAUAGUGGAUAAAUUUUUUUAGUGAACUUUCUAAUGCUAUUAUAUAAAUAUUUAUAAUAUCAAAAAAAAACACUUGACAUUAAAGUUUAAUUUGUAGUGAGAUUAAUUUUUUAUUAAGUUAUUUUAUAAUUUUUAUAAUUAAUUUUGAUGUUUAUAAAUAUUCGGAUAAAAUUAAAUAGUCAUUAUUUAGUUUAAUUUAAAAUAUAAUUAUUUUAUUAAUAAUUGUAUAGGUGGUAGUACGUAACUGUUGUUUAGUGGUAGUACGUAACUGUUGUUUAUUUAUGUUACUGGACAGCAAAAUUUCAUAGAUGGGAGAGAUUCGUUCACCAUACUUUUCUAUUGAUCAAGAACACCUCAAAGAUAAUGCUGAAAUUCGUUCACCAUAUUUCUCAAGUGGUGAAGACUACCUUGGAGUUAAUGCUGAAAUUCGUUCGCCAUAUUUUUCAUUUGAUACUCAAGAUUACCAUGGAGAUAAUGCCGGAAUUCAUUCCUCGUAUUUUUCAGCUGCAGACUACCAUGGAGAGGAUGCUGAAAUUCCUUCUGGAACAUUCUUUCACCAAGAUAAUAUUGUUGAGAAUCCAUACAAUGCAGAAAAUUUUGUUGAGCAGGAUAUUGUUCAAAACAUAUACAACACAGAAAAGCUCAUUCAACGGGCAGAAAUUGAAAAACUGUACUCGGAUCUAGAUCUUGAAGCUGGAGCAGAAUAUAGAAUCGUGAAAUUAGUUCUAAAUGAUGAGAAUUGUAUCUACAGAGUUCCUGAUGCACUUCGGAAAUCAAAUGAAGCCAUCUAUACUCCUCAAGAAGUUUCUAUAGGUCCUAUUCACCGUGACAAGAAGAAUUUGCAGCCCAUGACAACGCAAAAGGUGAGAUAUUUGAAAGAAUUUUGUAACAGGGUGGUAGGGGAAACAAGGGUGCAACAAGUGAAGUUCCUGGAGAAAAUUUGGAACACCAUUAAAGAGGAUGAAGAGAGGAUCCGCCGAUGUUAUGGAGAUGGUGCUCAUGAAGUUGCAGAAAAUGAUCAGUUUGCGAAAAUGGUGUUGUUGGAUGCUGUUUUCAUCUUGGAGUACUUGUUGAGGAAUAAAGAUUUUAAAAAAUAUGGAGAUGAUUCCUUAUUGCGUAGAAACGGGUUAAGGUUUCGGAUUCGACAAGACUUCUUGCUGCUCGAGAAUCAGUUGCCAUUCUUCAUUCUUGAGAAAUUAUAUGACCAUCUUCUUGAAGACGGCGAAGGAAAUUAUACUUCUUUUCGAGAUCUUGCCUACGAGUACUUAAAUAGGUACAAUGCGAGUGCAUACAAGCCGAGCGACAAGGAGAUAUUACAUUUCACCGAUUUGGUCAGAUCUUCAUUAUCCGUCAACCAUCCAGAUCCGAGGAGUGACGAACCGAUUGGAAAAUUUUAUAGCGCAACCAAGCUGCAUGAGGCAGCGAUUAAUUUUAAGGAAUUUCGAGAUGAAUGCUUACUUGACGUAAAAUUUUCUUCUACAAAAGGUGAGUUACGUAUACCACGUCUUCGGAUAGACCACCACACUGAACUUCUCUUCGGAAACCUCAUUGCCUUGGAGCGGUGUCAUUAUAAAGGAGAAGAGUACAUCUGCCAUUACGUUAAGCUACUUGAUACUCUUGUUGCCAAAACCAAAGAUGUGGAUCUCCUCAUUAAAAAUAAAAUCAUUGACACAGACAGAGAUGGUGCUUCAGUGAAGAAUCUGAUUGACAAACUUUCGGCAGAAACUUCUGAAGAAUAUUCCAUUUACUAUAACCUCUACAAGCAGCUGGAUCAACACUACCAGAACUCCUGGUUGAAAAAUAGCGCAUACUUUAGAGAGGUAUAUUUUGGAAACCUUUGGAGAAGUACUGCAACUGUUAGUGCAGCUGUCUUGCUCCUCUUCACUUUUGUACAAACAAUUUGUGCAGUCGUUGCCUUGCGCUAGUACUCCAAGUGGACCAAGUUAGCCCCAAUCCGGUGUAAUUUUAUUUCUCUCAUUGCUGACCUUCGUUGUAUUGUUUGUGUAGUUUCCGUUUCCUUUGCAGUUUUUCAUUGUACUUCAACUGAUGGGCUUUCUUUGUAUUUAGUAGUCAUGACUUAAUUUGUAAUGAUGGUUCUGAUGGAUGCUGUCUUCACUAUCAAGUUCAUCUUGCAGAAUUCAACAAAUCUCCAUCGUAAAGAGUCUGGACCGUCAGAGAAAGCAAAAAUUAUCUUAGGACUUGAUACUACUCGAAAAUCAACUACCUUACUUCAUUGUUGAGAAACAGUAUGACAAGAGAUAUUACCCUACAUUUCUUCAACUUAUCUAUAACUACUUUGAACAUCGCUACGUGCCUGCAGUGGAGGCAAAACCUCAUCCAAGGGAAGUAAAACAUUUCACUGAUUUGGUAAGGUGUUCUAUGUUGAUUGAGCCUAGUCCUCGCAACCUUGAUUUUCCUAUUGAACUCAAAUAUAAUGCAACCACGCUCCUUAAGGCAGGAGUUAAGUUUGUAGUUGUUGAUAAUAACCAUCUGCUUGACAUAAGAUUUGAUAAUGGGGUGUUGAAAAUACCACGCUUGGUCACUGGAAACAUUUUCGAAUGUACAAUUCGAAAUAUUAUAUGGCCUGGGAGCAGUUCCAUUACUAUCCAAAUGCAACUUACAUAUGCGAUCACUUGUCAAGACUGAAGAAGAUGUGGAUUUGCUUGUUGAAGAGGGAGUAUUGUCAGCUGGCUAGAGGACAACGCUAUGGUAGCAGAUUUGAUUAACCACCUUUGUGGAGGAUUUGGACAAAUUUACACUCGCCAUCGUCAUGCGUGAAGGAUUAAAUGCUUGAAGAAUUUACAAGGACUAAUUAACACAACCAUAGAAGAGUAGUAACCUAGACAGUAGAAACUUAUUGAAGAAAAAAUGAAUGAUAUAGGCAGCCAUGUUAAUUAGAGGUCUUAAGGAAUGUUAAAUAAGGUGCAGAAAUGCUGAGCAUUUUCCUCUUCAUCACAUAAACAUGUAUUUAGGGCAACGAACAGGAAUGUUCAACUUCCAUGAAGCCCUCGGGUCCGCAGUUAUUAGUAGAACCAAAAACCAACAGAGUUAAACUAAUUAAUUGAAUUUUUAUCGAUGUAACUAUGAGAUUAAUAUUUUAUCAAUGAUGAUGAUGAUGAGAUCAAUAGUGUAAAAGAAAAAUCCAACUGCUUUUAGCAGAAUAUAACACUGUAUUAGGCUGACAAAAACUAGGAAAACAAUCCUGCUACUACAGUAGCUUUAAACCUCCUGCUUCGAGCCUAUAGAAGCAACUCUAUGGACAUAUACACCAAUUAUGUAGACCAUAUGGGAAACCAUAACCAUAUACUGAUUGUAGUAAUAAAACUAGAUCAGCUGCUUUGGACCUAGAAGUGACAUUAUUGAACAUACAGUCUGUAUCAAAGUGAGGAUCAGCAGGACAGCUGCAGCAACAGUUCCGGUACCUCUCCAAAGAUUGCUGAAAUAUACAAGUUUCAAGGUUGCCUUUCUAUGGUUGCACCUGUUCUCAUAGUAGGCGUUCAAAUCAACACAAAGAUCAUGAUAACAAGUGAAAAACUCACUAAUUUGCUCGCAAAGCCGGUUAAUCAAAUCUGCAACCAUGGCAUUGUUUCCUAGCCAGUUAUCAAUCACCCCCACUUUAACCAGCAAAUCCACAUCUUCUUCGGUGUUGAUAAGAUGGUCCAUUAACAUAAAGUAAUUGCAUAUGUAAGUGCUAUAUGGGUAGUGGCACUGCUCAUAUGCCAUGAGGUUUCGUGUCACAUAUUCGAAGCUCUGAUUUACUUCAAAGCGUGGCAUUUUCAACACUCCGUUGACAAAAUUUAUGUCGAGUACACAACUGUUUUCAGUUGCCUCAAACUUCAAUCCUGCUCUAUGAAGCAUGGUUGCACUGUAUUUCAGUUUGAUGGUACAAGGACGACGAGGUAAUGUCUCCAGGGACUCGUUCAACAUAACAUAUCUCAGAAAAUCAGUGAAAUGCUUUAUCCCUACUGAGUUGACUUUUGGUCUCUCUGAAAUCCUGUAGUAAUGUCCAAAGUAGAAGGCUACAAGCUCAGGAAAAGUAAGGCUAGCUUGUGUUUCAGGGUCUGAAUAGGUUUUCUCGUAUAUUUUCUCCAGAAUGAAAUAAGGUAGCUGAUUUUCAAGUAGUAUCAAGUCCACUUGUAAACCAAACACCAUCCGAGGCUCAGGUAAUAUAGGAACUUCUUCACAGAAAAGGUUAAAGAACUGCAACAAGAAUUCGAUGACGAAUACAGCAUCCAACAGAAUCAUCUUUACAAAAUCAUCACUGCUACGAUUGAAGUUAUAACAGCCUCGAAUUUCCAUUUCAUUCUUCUGAACUAUGGUCACAAGAUCGUCCAAUGUCACCUUCUUCCCAUCCAUGAAUUCUGCUAAAUAUCUCAAUUUCUGCUUCUCCAUUGACACUAGUUCCUCAUGGCCACAGUGAGCAGGGCCUAGUGAAACUACUUGUGGAGUGUAGGCUUUCGGUUCUAUGCUUCGAAGUGAGCGGGGUACCUCGUAGAUACAGUGCUCAGGACAUUUUCCAGGUUUGAACCUUGCUAUCCCAUCUGCUAGAUCUUUCAAAACAUUUGAAGCACUUGCCGCUUCAAUCUCCUUUCCCGUGUUUGAAGCACUUGCCUUAUCAAUCCUGUUUUCAUUAUUUGAACGUGUUGCCAUGCCAAUAUCCUUAUUUGAAGCACUUGGGGAAUUAAUAUCGUUUUCCAUUUGUCAACAGAUUUUUGUCCUGGAGAGACAGCCAAUUGAAUCACUGGCGAUAAAAAUAUAUCUCCAAAUCAAGUGUACCAUGGUUGCUACAAUCUUACAUUCAUUUCAAUUCACAUCUAAAACGAUUUAGUUUUGCUUUCCAGCCACUCUUAACAAGUUUUAAGACUAGAUCAUACAAAUCAAAACAAAACAACUGUAUAAGAAACUAUUUUCAAGGAAAAAUCAUGUAGUUGAUUGAAAAAUACAGAGCAAAUCAUGGGAGAUUACAUGUGUAUUAUGGCUAUUGUUGAUUUCCCAUCAUCCUGAUCCGUAGAUUAUAUAGGUGUGUCAUGUAGAAUAUUUUUUUAACAUUAUCUAUGAUAUGAUCUCGUUCAUGUGGAUCCAUAAUUUAUCAUUGUUUUGAUUCAGCUCUAGCAAUUUAUUUGUUCAAUUUGUUCUGUGUUUAGUUUUUUGUUUUAAAAAAAUUAUGAAUGUUGAACCUCCACUGGCCUUAAUUAACCCAAAUGGAGAUGUGGGAUUAAGUUAUGUCAUGGGAAGUAAGAAUUCUGCUUCAAGAUUGUCAAUUGAAUGUUUUAUGAAAAAAAAUGUGAAUUCUCUUUUUUAUCAUGUAAUGAUCUAUCUGGGUAUUUCAUUGAUUUAUUAUUAUUAUUGGUUGCAUUGAAGAUGAGGCAGAAUUCAUGAGAACUAAGAACAUCAUCAUAUACUAAAUUCUUUUAUUCUUUUUUUUAUAUAUAUACACUAUUGUUUUUUGGUCCUCCAGCUUUAGCUUUCAAUUUGCUUUUCUAAGGAGUCAUAACCUAAUUUUGUAAAAUUUAACAACAAGAAAACCUAAAAAAAUAUAAGAAAUUCUGGACAAAACAGAUUAAAACACACCCAAGUGCAUAAAACCACGAAACAUAACUAAUAAGGCCUAAAUUGAUAGGAACAAGAGUUAAGGAAACAAACUAUAUAAUUGAUUGUCAUCAAUUAACAACAAAAUAUAAGAAAAUCUGGGCAAAACAGAUUAAAACACUCCCAAGCGAAUAAAACCACGAAAACAACUCUUCCUAGCUAAAGACCAUCUUGUUUUGGUGUUGUUCUGCAAAAAGCCAAAACUGUUUUCUGACAAGUAUAGAACCAUUUUGGAAUAUUUAUUGCUGAAGCAAUGCAAUUGCCUUUUCCGAAGGAAAGUUGUGUGCUGGGAUAUUUCUACGUACACAAUUCCUUCGGAAGUAGUAUGUAUGGAUAUCCUACACAGCUUAUCAGCUGUGAUCUUACGAGAGAAUCUUAAUCUUUAAUUAUAAUGGAACUAUUAACCUCGCAGGGUAGGGGAGAUCAGCCAAGUAAUUGAGAACUCAUGAGGGUUAAAGCCUAAAAGACGAACUUCAUUUAUCAUUAAGAAGUAAGAACCGCUAAAUUAAGGCUUAAUUGAAAACUUUAAACAUUUCAUCUGUAUUAGACCAAAUAUAGUGAAACAAAGAACCUGAGUGCCUUUACCUGAGGAAAACAAUUGUUUUGUUGUAAGCAGCACACAGCCCCUUCCCUGGAUAUUGCUACACUGAUCAUCUGUUGAAUGCAGCCUCCCUCUCUCACUCUCUCUGUCUCACUGAUAUGUAUAUACGAGUAGUACUCCUCUCUCUCUACUUGUCAUCAUUUCUCUCUCUAGAAAAUCUCCUAUCCAAAGAUUUUUACUUUUAAGUUUUAUUCCGUUAUGUUAUUUGUUUUGCCCUCCUUCACCCCUUCACAAAACCCUACCUUUUAACCAUCAUCCUCAACAUGCUCUUCGACAAAUCAACAACCCAAACCCUACAUAUCUCAUAUCUGUUUACCUUGAAAGAUUCCCUCCCCACCGGAGGUCGUUUGAUCUGAAAAAGCUACGGGGCUGGCCUCCUAUGCCCGUAAAAAGAACAUUGUUAAUAAUAUUUUUUCUUACUUCUUUAUUUAAAUUAUUGAGAAUCUUUGUUAUAAAGAACAUUGUUAAUAAAAAUCUUUUGUCAAAACAAUACAUUUUUUUCUUUUAAAAUCUAAAUCUUUCUAACUUUUACAAAUAUUGAUUUUAAUUAUUAUAUAAUUAAAUAAAAACUAAUAUUAAAAUUACCCCAUAACAGCAUCAUGCAGGGGGAGAAGCUACUGUGCUUAUAAUCAAGGACAAAGUAUUUGAUAAAGGUAAAGUUGUCUGUAUCUUCCGAUGUGGGUUCCUCUCUUUUUCGUCCUUUGACAUCCUGUUCAUUAUUUAAAUGAUUGAAAGACACCUUGCCUGCUAAGGAAAACAACACAUCAUCUACAAGCUUAGAUUCUAAUUAUUACUAUAGUGACUGAAAAAUUAAAUUAAUAUUUUUUUUUAAAAAAAAAUCCAAUUUUCAAGUUCUUUAAACCCAAAACAUCUUAUCAACAUCAUUAGCAUACCUACAAAUUAAUUCAUCAACCCAAAACACUUCAAUUUUUUUUUAUCAAAAACUCAAAAUCUAACCGAGUUAGAUUUUGUUUUCUCAACUUAGAUUUGUUUUUCAAGCAACAUUAAGACUCUAAACAACCAUUAUUAAGCCUCUCUCAUAGCAUGGGAACAGAGACACAAAGAAAAAUCAUUUUGAUGGUAAAAAUGGUGUGAAUAAUAACUUUCUCUCUCUCAUCUCUUUAACUAAAAAUAAAAAAUAAUAUAAAUUAACUUUUAUACUAAAAUUGAAUUUAUGAUUUGGAGAUAUUUAAAUGGUAUAAAUUAUAUUAUUUUUAAAGUUUGAGGACCUAAGUGUAUUCUUCCCAAAAACCCUGGCACGCCACCCAUUUUUGAUGCAUUAUUCAUUUUAGCCCCUCUUCUUCCAAUUCUAUAAUUUCUUAAGAAAUCAAAAACAAUUACCUUUAACUAGGAUCAAAUCACAUAAAAUUAAAAUUUGAGAAUGGAAAAAUAAAAAUAAGAAAUGAACAAUGAGUUCACAGUCACAUGUGAGUUUGUGAACAUUAUUUUUCUGCAUCUACCUCUUUUAAUGUUUUCAAUAAUUUGUAUUAAGAUAAUCAGGUUAUUUUAUUUUAUUUUAUCCACUGGACCGCUCUCCUACACCCUCCAAAAUAAUUUUUUUUGUGCUACUUUCCGCGGAAGACCAAAAACCGAAUUCAGCUAUUAGUCAUUCGAAUUACAAAAGGAAAUUGGUGAAUCUUUUGAAAUGUUUGUGGGUGGUGGGGGUCAAAGCUGAAAAGUGCACUCAGCUAACUCCAAGAGGACAUAAAUGAUCUUGAUCUAUAGUUACAUUCAAGGGUCAGUUCUCAUUUAUUUAAAGAAAACAUUAUUCCUGGGGGCAUUUUAUUGCGCAGCAUAGCAUUGUACCUCUCCUUACAAAGCCAUAUGGAUUUUAGUAUUUUUUUAUCAUAUUUUUUUUCAUACCUUUGUGCAUGGUUUUGAAUCUCGGCCUAACCUGGCAGGUCGAUUCAGAAUCCGAUCAACUCGGAGCUGGAACCUAGCCAAGUUAAAGAAAAAAUAGGGGAAGAAAAAACUCGGUGUGACCCGGUAAAAAACUCAGUUGCAAACCGUUGACUUUUAUUUUGUUUUUUACUAAAACAAUGUCAUUUUGAUUUAAAAAAAAAGAAUUGACCUGGUCAAAACCCGGAACCCGGGUCUUAGACCGGGCUGAGUCUAAAAACUAUGUUUUUGUGUGCUGUUUUGAGUGUUUGUGUUUUUUGAGUCCAUGGUUUAUUUUCUUUGCAUGAUCUUGGGGAAUGGAGGUUUUGGUUAGGUUUGUUGGAGGUCAAUUUAAUGAGAUUUGGUUUUAAUUUAUAGCAUAAAUAAACAAUUAAAAAAAAUCAAACAUAUAAAUAAAAAAAAUUGCGUGGCCUAUGUUAUUUUCACAAGAAAAAUACUAUUUAAUCCACAUAUUUUCUAUUCAUUUCUUGUCUGGUGUCUUUGAUUUUAGGAAUUUUAGUUUUUGUAUAAAACUUUAUUUUAUUUAUAUUUUAGUUUUUAUAUUUGAGAAAUGAGAGAUCAUGUUUUAACCAAGCAAGCUCUCUAUCUUAAAAAAAUAAUAUUGUUUUAUACUUUAUUUUGUACAUCAUUACUAAACAUUAUUUUAUCUUUGUCUUCUCUAUUAUAUUAUUUUCUCUAUUGUUUUUAUUCAGGAAAAUAACUAAAUGUUACCUAACUUAUUGGUAUUUGUUUCAUCCAAGAGAUCAUAGGUUUAAUUCUCCAAAAAUAUUAAAAGUUUAAUUUAGUUUACAUCUCAUGUAAAAGACGGUCUAAUUAGUCCCUUAAUUUUGUUAUCAGCUUGUAAACAAAAAAAUGGCAGUGCAAAAUUAACUCCAACGGCAACGAGCUUUUUAACUGGAAAAAAAAAGAAAAAGAAAAAAAAUUAGCCAGCCACAUACGUGUCUUCUCAUUUGACCAGGACUACAGUCCACAGAGGAUUUAAAAGGCCUCGUACCAAUACCCAGCGACUUGUAUGGGCCUACAUGGGCUAAAAAGAAGAGAAAUCAAGAAUUAUUAGGCCUCUAUGAUGAAGGCCUACAAAUCAGACCCCUUAUCAAUGACCGCAAAGAAAUGAGUUCAAGCCUUCAAGGUGGGGUCCCGGUCACUCAGCGGAAAGAAAGAAAUGGAGAAUGGCUGCGGUGGCGGCAUCGAGACCCAGUGGUGGUGGUGGUGGGCAAUGGCAAGCAUGGCCAAGUUUGGGUGGGGCAUUUCAGCAUAUAAAAGAGGCUUCGCUGGCGACUCUCGUCUCAUGCCCUUAAAAGCGUUCGCCGUUGCCUCCCUCUUUGUUGGUUCCGCCGCCUCUGCUUCCAUUGCUUCCCUUCAAGCGUCUGGCAUCCACAAGGUACAAGAUCUUAUAGAAUUGGGAGCAAAUAUAAGGACUGGGCUUGGGGUUCCUCCAAGAGUAGCAAAAGAGUAAGUUGCUUGCUCUCUUUUAUCAUCUGUAUACUUUUUUUUAGAGUCCCAAAAAAUUACAUUUGUACAAUCAUUAAUUGUUGUUUAUCAUGUUUUUUUUUUGUUAGAAAAGCUGAUGAUCUAUGAAAAGGGGCAUCGAGAAUCUUGGAGAUGUGUGCAGUUUCGUAUCCUAUGUUUUGUAAUGCUAGAAUGCAAGCUGUAGAUGUCAACAAUAUGAUGUACUUCACAAUACUUCUUUUGUAGUAAGAUUUUUUCUUUUGAUUAUUGUUUGAGAGAGUACCUUUUUCUAUACCAUUGCCUAAUGAAGUUAAAAUUCUGUUUUGGUUAACUUGCUUCAAAGAGGCAAUUAGCAUGGAAAUAAGCUUUUUAUGUUCCUGGUCUUGCUUGAUCAAAUGCUUAACAGACACAUUGAACAGACCCUCUGGGACUCAAUUAUAGUGGUUGAUAAAGAGCGUGCUGAGCAGAAGUUAAAGAACUCGUUUAUUGCGAAGGUAAUGUUUGUGCAGUCUGUUUAGCAAACGAGGGAGGUAGCAUGGCCUGGGAUCUUCUUCGGAUUUUUAAAAUUUCUGUAACUUGGGAGAUCCAACUGAGGAAAAAGAUUUGUUUAGUGGCAGAAUUGAGGCUAAUUAUAUAGUUGAAGGGAUUUUUUGAUGCUUGCAAUAUAAAUAUACAUCUGUGUGUGUGAUGGAGAUGGCCCUGUAAAAGUUGCGGAUAAAGAAGUCGAAGAAGCUAUAGUUUCCAUCAUUCUUGAAAACUUCCCUUCCCAUGCAGUUUUUGGCGAAGAAACCAAGUGGAAUUCCAAAGAUAUCAUCAUCAAUGACACCAAGCUUCCAGACUUUGUUAGGGUUGUGGAUCCUAUUGAUGUAACAUACAGCUUUUUUUUGGAAAAGGUGCAAGCUUGGAACCCUUAUUGCUCUUCUUUACAAGGGGAAGCCUAUUCUUGGCAUUAUGAUCAACAUCUUACGAAAGAUUGAUGGAUGGGUGUCACAGGGAGCAUAGCAACGAAGAAUGGCGAACCACUGUUGGCCACUGCCUGUCAGGAUUUGGUUCAUGCACGUGUUCAUGUAAAAUCCAGGCAUUACAGUGAAGAAGUUGGGUUUGCUUGUGACGGAAUUGUGCGCAGUAUCAUGAUCAUGCAACGUCAUUAUUUGGCUCUCGCUAAAGAAAAAGGUUCCAUGUUGCAAGUAUUGGUUCAUUCAGAUCCCGGAGACUCAAUGAGACCGCACUGGCGAACAUCUGUUGUGUUCAAUCCACGUUUGUUUCCUUGGUGAACGAGGAUAGACGAUAACUUGAGCACCUGCUCUAGACAAGUGAUUAAAAACACAAUGUUAAUCACCAACAAAAUUGUUUAAUUCAAUGACCAACCAAUCACAUUUCAGGAUCUUUGCUCUCUCAGUGAACAAAAAAUUUAUCAGCUCAGAAGGACAAAACUGGAACUCUCAAGAAAACUAAGGAUCAAUCUCACGAGAACGUAUACAAAUUAUUCAUAUCUAUUGACGAGAGCUAGCAACCCCAGCUCCAGAUCAAAUUGAUACAAAAAGAAACCAUAUCUAAGCUAUGGAACGCUUGUGUACAUGUUUUACGCAACCACUGGCGCAGGCAUAUAAGACUCCAGAAUCAACUGUGAUCGUGAAGGUUGCAUGGUCUCGACAAUUAAGUAUGUAUACUUCCACUGCUUGUCCACUUUGUCUUUGAACAUCUCAGCAGAAACCUUCCCAGCACCAUGCGGCCCACGAAUAUAGAAAUUAAUCUACAUUCAAUGAGGCAACGAGUAAGCAGAUACCAAGUUACACAGAAAAUCAAAAUUAUCCCCAAUUUCAUUUGUUCUUGUGAAAUUUUUUCACUUUAUUUCUUCUUAAAGUGGAAGGAGGUUCUGGAGAUAAUUCAGGAAUGUUAUUCACAAUCCUGGAACCUUUUGCAUUUCUUGGAUGCACAAGACAAAUUUCAUAUGGUUAUUGUAAAUUAUGUUGCUUCACAGUUUACCUGGACAUGCUCCACACCAUCUUCAUCAGUAAAGAUCCUAUUGGGAAUACGUUGGCGAGCAGCACGAUUUCUACUUUCCUGACCAUAACCUGUAAUAGGGGAUCCAAUCCUCACCCUGACCUGAUUUUCAAAGAAAAUAUAAUCCAAAGUAAAUGACAAAAUUGCAAAUCAACAUAUGUAAAGAAUACCACCAAUAUGAUUCAGCUUUCAAAUUUUGAAACAGCCUGCAAUCAUGGUCUUUUAUAGUACAAGAACAUAGAUGGCAAAGUUUAGUCGCCAGUGAGAACCCUUUUGACCAUUUACUACCAGAUCUUUCUGGAUUUUAUCUAUAGUAUUUAAAACCUCCCUCACAACUUUGUGAUUACAUUUUGAAAGAAUUUGUUUUCUUUAUAUUAGUUUUGCCAAUAAACUGUACCCAACCACUUGAAGUUAAGCACCCACUGCCAUUCUUAUUUUCAGAUGACAGUUGAUAAUAACCGUAUGAUUUAUUGUUCAGUCCCACCAGUUACAUACUCGGGGUGUUUCCACAAAGGGCAACCUCAAAUGACUGCUCCAUUGUAAGAUAAAGUCUCCUUUUCAGGUCCACUGAACAUCAUGAUAAUAAAUAGAAGAGGAACAAGUGCUUUAAAAAUUGUGCGGCCAGACAAAGAAUAUCAAUUUUCACAAACCUGACUGUCAUCUUGAAUCCUUUUCAGAGCCUUGUUAAAAAUCUUGUAUCUAUCACAGGUCAUGGCUCAAAUCAGAGUGGAAUCAGGAAAAGAAGGCAAAACCUCAAAUAAUGUAUUUUUAACCAUGUUCGUAUAAUUUAAUAAGAAAAAUCAACUCUUACUCUUUUGGUUCAAAUAUCAGCUCCUUGAAAACAGCAUAAGCUGCAGCAGCAGCAACACCAAGUCCUGCAAGAAUUAUAAUGCUGUAGGAAGCACCCUCUGUAAACGUCACAGGCUUCUCUGGGAUAUUGUAUGUUGGAGCAUCAAAAGGAUCCUCGACAGUAGAUAAAUCUUUUCUGGUCUGUCCAGAGUGGCAGAGCACAAUUAAUAGUUUAAGAGCACAAGUUUUCAGGGAAGAAAAAAUACUUUGUGCGGAGAACACAAAGUGAAACCAAUAUGUAAAGCAAAAAGGUAAAACAAAAACAUAUGUAGUCAGGAUGGUUCAGAUGCCGCUGUGUUGGGAGUACAUAAACACAGAAGAAAUUUAAAAAUUCCCUCUUGAAAGAAACAAUUUGUUUCAACAAUGAAGUAUGGAGCAAACAUAUAUUUCCUAUAUAAAAAUCUAGAACCACCCAGAUAGUGAUAGUAUCCUUAUAAUAGAAAUAUACUCCAUUUUUAUCAUUUUAUGGAUAAAAAGGUUGACUGCAUAGAAACACAAGAUUCAUUCAAGUGUUCUACUUAAACUGUAAUCAGAGUAAUCUAAAUAGCAUGCGGAUAAAACAUAAACACGUAAGUUCAAGAACUUUGAUUUGAAUUCAAACCUCAGAUUGAUUUCGUGUCUCUUUCUUCGAAGCUUUCGAUGCAAAGGAUCUAGCAACACAAAUAUUAAUGGUGCUUCCUCCAUGGUUUUCCAUGAUUUGAAAGGGUGACCUAAGGCUAACCAGGCAUUCUCUGUUAGAUUUACCUCCAUACAUAGCAGGGAUACCUGCCAAAUAUCACUGUCAAGAAUUAAUUUGCAAAAAGAGAGAAAUCAAUAAGCAAAACAACCUUGCUCCAGAACCGGAGGAUAUGCAUGUCUGACACUAAAUGUCAGUAAACUUGCAGCACUUUGUGUGGCUCCAAAUACUUUAUUAUAUUAUAUGAAUUGUAUGGCUACAACUCCUCUCCUGCAUUGACUUUAGUUACACUAUCUAAAACUGUUAAGUUUUCAAUUAUUUCUUGCAGGUCCUAGCAUUAAAGUGAUCGAUCCUACUAUAGUUUCUUUAUGAUCUUUUACCUAAACUCCCAAUGAGACAUCCAAGGAUUCAAUAAAAUCAGCUCAUUGUCAUGUUCUUUCUUUGCUAGACCCUUUAUCAAAAAGGCUAUUAGAUCUCCAUUACAACAGCUCGAAAUAUGAGAUUUAGUCAGUAAACAUGCAAACUACAACUUGCGGUGAAACAUUCAUAGGGAUAGACUAGAUCAACUACUGAUUCAGGAGGGCAUCCUGAAACUUCCUUUUAUGCCAAAAUAAAAAAUCUGGAGGAGCGGAUGAGGGUCACUGGCUCCAUAUCAGAAAAUGAGACCAGCCAAUAAAAAUGAUUCGUAUAAGAUCUUUGAUCCUAGUAUAAUUCUCUUGCAAGCAAACAAAAAAUGACUUCCAGGAUGAGCAAUAAUGCAGUAAGCAAAUAAGUACUCCCCAGAUUACUAUAGUCCAAGGGCACAGCUCUCAAUAAAGAGAAUGGCUUUUACUGAAACUUUUGCCAAAGAGGCAGACGAACAACUCUCAGCAACAAGAGAGAAGACUAUAUCAGAUUUGGGCAUAUGAGACUUACACGAGUAUAAUGAUUCAAUAAAGUGGAGCAUAACAAUCACUAACCAUUACCCCGAAGUAUGUCCUACAAAAUAGAAUGAAAUAAAACAAAAUCAGUCUGCAGUUACAAGCUGAGGGGAAAUGAAAGUGAAAAUACCUAACCACCUCACCUUAGUCAAAUGGUUGGCAUUGGAAGCAAAAUGUCUCACAUAAUCUGACUUUGGCAGCUGAGUCAACAUCAGAAUGUAACUUAGAUCAAAUACCAAUACAUCACAUUUAACUAAUAUGCUUGAAACAAACAGGAUUUCAACUAUAAAAAGAAAAUUACCCAAUUGUACCGUAAGUUUAUGGUAAAAACAGUUACUUAUUGACAGACAUUUCCAGAAGCAUUAAGGUAACAACAGGAGCCAACAAACAGAACAAAGGUAGUAAUGACAAAGAACAAAUAACUGGUUGAAUUAGUUGCUUCAUUUAAAGCCAGGAAGGGGAAAGGAAGAGAAGUGAUUUUUAGAAGGAAAAAAAAGGGUAACAGGAAAAUUAUAACUAGAAAGAGUAUGACUGGGGAUUCAAUCUCGUUUCUGACAGGUGAACUUUUCUAAUAUCACUGAAACUAAUCUUGCCUCCUCAUUUUAGAAGGCCAGAACCUGGAGAAAUCUACAACUCAAGGAUGUCAUUUGCAUUACAUUAUAUAGGCUAAGCACCGAAAAGAAAGGUCAGCAUAUCUUAAAUGAAGCUAAGAUAAAUUUUUCAUUCGGGAGGUUAAAUUCAUUCAUUGCAAUACUUUGGCACAAUGAGUUCAAUAGGAUCCAGGUCUCGUUAAUAUACCUCAAAGUGGCAACACUUUGAGGCAACAUGCAUUACCAUUACAUUGACAUUCAAGUUCUAUUGCAUUCAAUAUAAAACAACAAGUUUCUUCAAACAACCAUAAAACACACGAGGCACAAACUAAAUUUGAACUCAAACCACAACAAAAGCUGUAAAUAACCAACUUCAACUCCGAAGGCAAGUCGCAGUGUCUCAAAGUUACAAAGCUGAAACUAAAAAGGAAAAAAGACAAAUAUUUACCCUAGUGGCUGAAUUACCAAGUGCACUUCUUUGUGCAGCCAUGGAUGUUGAAAAGGACGCCAAACCCACAUCAGAUACUCCCUUAACAAUCUUUCUCUCCAAAAAUAAAGGCAGCCCAUUUUGAGAUCUCAAAAAACCGCUGCAUCUCCUAAUAUGUUGCAUCUUCUAAUACUACAAUAAAAACCCCUACCUUUUCUAUUUAGUAAAAAUAAAAAUAAAAAAUUUAACACAAAAACCAACUCGUAUAGCCUAAAAAAGGUUAAAAAAACCAAAUAAAAUAAGACCCAGAUGCUGAUAUUCAAGACCCAGAAAUCAUAUACUUCGACCCUGUAUUAAGAUAUCGAGAGAGAGAGAGAACCAAAAACCCAAUGGCAAGCAAUUUGGGGUUUUAUUGCAGACACGUGCAAGAAGAAACCUCACGUGUAAGAAACCCAAGAAGGCAAGAACCCACUAUUCUUUGGGCUCACUCCUCAAAACUUAGCCCGUAUAACGAAAGCCCGAAUUUGAACCGUAUGGCUUGUUUUCCUCUCCUUUUUUGUUCCCUCAAAAUCAGAGGAGAGCUAGCUAGCACCUAGCAGCUGCCAGAGAGAAAACUCAUACACAGCGAGGUAGGGAAAGAAGAAAGAAGGAAAGGAGUUGAAUUUGUUUAAAAAGAAUUUGGCUUGUCUUUUUAACACUACUGCUUUGCAGCAGCCCAGUUUUGUUGCUGGUAAGUUCUCUAUUUACAUAAAUAUGAAGAAACUCCAAGGCACCCUCGAGGCCAGGAGAAAAAUGGAGAAAAGUUGGAAAUUUUUUAACACUCAAUUUAGUGCAGUUUUUCUUCAUAGUUUUUUGUUUAUGGAUUCAUUUCUGUAUAGAGCUAUUUGUUUAGGAGUUGUUAAGAAGAGAACUUUUUCAAGGUGUACAAGAACUUGUAAGGAUUUUUUUUUAUAUAUAUAUUUUGGGUUGUUUUCCAAAAGUUUAGACACUAAGAUUAUGACAGGAAAUUUGAAGAUUGAUUCGUGCAUCCAUAGUCAAUAUGUUUAAAUUGUAAAGUCAUUAUGCUUGUUUUCUAUACAAAGGUCGGUUUUUUUAUGCUUGUUUUCUAUAUUUACAGUUUCAAGAUAAGUUGAUUACAGGAGUUGAUAUGAUAAAAUAGAUUAGUGGUGCUAUGAUUCAUUUUAAAAUUUUAAUAAUUCCAAGAUAUGUUGAUCCAAGGACUUGAUAUGAUGCAAUACACUGAUGGUACAAUUAUUUGUUCUGAUUUUGCAAUAGUCUGAAGAAUAACGAUUUUUUUUUUUGAUAAUUUUAGUAAGUUCAUCAAACUUGGGUUUGAUGAGAUGUCACUUUGUACAAGGUUAUAACCCUUCAACUAUUCACUGACCUAAUUUCUGUUAUGUGCAUUUUUAGAUGGCCAGAUGGGAUGAGAUUCUGUCCCUUCCUGUGCAGAAUCCUCCAACUUUGGAAUUCUCUGCUUCUGAUAUUGUGUGGUCAAAGGUUGAAGGUUGGCGUGACAAUUUGGAUAGACUCGCUCUUAUCCCUUUUGCUCGGGUGGAUGAUUUUGUAAGAGGUGAGUCUGCUAAUAAAGACUGUCCAACGAGAUUUCAUGUUGAAGCUAGAAGGCGUCGACCUCCACAAACAUCUUACAAGCAAAAGGUUGAUGGCAUCCUUGAGUACAUAUUGUAAGUUUCACUCUUCUUUUGGCAGCUCCUACUUAGUGGCCAUCAAUGCUGUGAGUUAAGUGAUCCAUUUGAAUUUUUAGGUAUUGGUGUUCUUUUGGCCCUGAUGAUCAUCGGAAAGGUGGCAUAGUACGGCCCAGUAGAACUACUUAUGUUCCAAAAAAGAAAAAUGCUGGUAGACCAAACACUAAGAGGGGGUGCACCUGCCAUUUUAUUGUAAAACGUUUAAUUGCUGAACCAUCUGUAGCACUGAUCAUAUAUAAUCAGGACAAGCACGUGGAUAAAAAAGGGUUACCAUGCCAUGGCCCUCGGGAUAAGAAGGCUGAAGGAACUCGUGCUAUGUUUGCCCCAUAUAUCUCAGAGGAUCUUCGGCUUCGUGUUUUAUCUUUACUAUAUGUUGGGGUCUCUGUGGAGACCAUAAUGCAAAGACACAAUGAAUCAGUAGAAAGGCAGGGCGGUCCAUGUAAUCGUGAUGACCUGUUGACACACAGGUAUGUGCGGAGGCAGGAAAGGAGCAUCCGCCGCUCUACAUAUGAACUGGACAGUGAUGAUGCAGUUAGCAUUAACAUGUGGGUUGAAAGCCACCAGAAUCAGGUAUUCUUCUUCGAGGAUUUUUCUGAUUCAGAGCCUUUCACUUUGGGAAUUCAAACAGAGUGGCAGUUACAACAAAUGAUUCGGUUUGGCAAUCGUGGUCUUGUGGCUUCUGAUUCAAGAUUUGGAACAAAUAAAUUAAAGGUUUGUCAUUUCAGUUAAUAUGGUCCAAAUCCUGUCUAACCAAAUAUCAAUUACAGUGCCUGCAUGGCUCUAUAUGUUUCAGAAACUGACUUUGCUCUUUUCUUUCAUUUUGUUUAGUAUCCUGUUCACAGUCUAGUUGUGUUCAACUCAGACAACAAGGCCAUCCCUGUAGCUUGGAUCAUAACACCAAGAUUUGCUAGUGCUGAUGCACAUAGAUGGAUGAGGGCACUUUACAACAGAGUUUGUAUGAAAGAUCCUUCGUGGAAGUUGGCUGGCUUUAUAGUGGAUGACCCUUUGACAGACAUCCUCACAAUAAGGUUGGCAGUUCCACUUUCUUUAUGUGAAUUCGAUGAUUUUUUCUUCGUGGUCAUUUUUAGUUGUUUUACAGAGUGUUCCAAGGGUCAUAUGGCCCAUAUCCAUGGGUUUUGCAGGGAUUUGGUAUUUUUUUAAUUCUGUAUCCUGAAAUUUAGAGUUCAGUACAAGCAAUGAUUGAUCCCUUGAGAUCUCUGGUACCUUAAAAUUUGCUUGACACGGUAUUGCUUCAGACUUUCUGCUUGAGGCACCAACUGUUGUCUACCAUUGUGAUCUUAAAGGACACUUUAGAGCCUGUUUGGAAACGCGGUUCAAACCGCGUUCUCUCAAAAUUUGAAUUUUUUUUUCUUAAUUUUUUUUUUAUGUUUUCAGAUUUUUUUGAUGUGUUGAUGUCAAAAAUGAUUUUUAAGAAAUAAAAAAACAUUAGUUUGAUGCAUUUCUAAGCAAAAAACACUUUGAAUCGCAACCGCUACCACAUUUCCAAACACAUAUUAAUAAAGUGCUUUUUAACACAUGUAGAGCUGAACUGCAAUGCUUGGUGAAAUGCUCUUAAGAAUUUGUAAGAUGAGAUCUGUGGAGAUUAUUUCAGAUUCUCAAUCUGAGCAAAGAUCUGGGACUUGGCAGUUUAGAUUGAUUGUGUUGUGGACGUGAUGUGUUGGUCCAGGCAAAUAGAGAAUAGUUUUUGGCCUCCGUGUUUCCUUUUUGGAUGAUAUAUAUCUAAACAAAAACUUCAUUUUUUUACCUUGUUCUCAGGGAGGUGUUUCAGUGCUCUGUGUUGAUAUCUUUUUGGCGAGUUCGCCAUGCAUGGCAUAAGAAUCUAAUAAAGAGGUGCAUGGAAACAGAGAUGCGGGUUCAGAUAUCAAGACGGCUUGGACAGACAGUAGAUGAUAUUUGCAGAGGACAAGGAACUGUACAUUUGUUUGAAGUUCUCAUGGAAGAUUUUGUUGAUGGCUCUAGUUUUAUGGAUUACUUCAAGGCAACGUGGUAUCCUAGAAUAGGUUGGUAAAUUUCUCUUCUUUUCUUUUCAAUAGUAAUUAAGAUAGCAUAAACAGGCUGUACACAUUUCUAGCUUUCUUCUCAAUUUCCCUGAGCUGGUUUGCAAAUGGGCCUCAUAUCUCAAUUUGGAAGAAGAUCAACUUGGCUGCGUGUGAUAAAAUAUGUGGAGUAUCGCUAUAGAAUCUUGGAGUUAGUUGGGUUUUUUACAAAACUCUUUAUUUCGGAAAACUAAAAAUAAUAUUUCCUUGUAUCAGGGAGUUGGACUACUGCACUAAAAAAUCUGCCAUUGGCAAGCCAAGAGACUUGUGCAGCAAUGGAAUUUUACCACAGGCAAUUGAAAGUGAGGCUCUUGAAUGAGAAGAAUCCUGGUGUUUAUCAACGGGCUGAUUGGUUGGUUGAUAAGUUGGGUACAAAAGUGCAUUCCUACUUCUGGCUUGAUGAAUACUCAGAAAGGGAUGAUUUUGCAAGAUACUGGAAAGAUGAAUGGAUCAGUGGUUUAACAUCUUGGCGAAAAGCAUUGAAGAUUCCAGACUCUGAUGUUGUCGUGGAAUAUAGAUGUGCAAAAGUCACUGACCAGCUUGAUCGAGACAGGGUUCAUGUUGUCUGGAACCCUGGUUCAGAAUUUGCUAUUUGUGAUUGCAAGUGGGCGGAAAUGGGCAACUUGUGUGAGCAUGUCUUUAAAGUUAUUAAAUUAUAUCGUGAUAAAGGGAGUAGAAAGUCAUCUAUUAGCCUAUUUCAGUAUAAUCAGGCCCUGAUCAACAUGCUACGCUGCCCACCUUAUGAUUGUUUGAUUCGUGAUCAUGCUGCUUCUCUAGCAGUUGCUGUGCAGAAGCAAUUAGAUGGAAUAGUUAAUUUAGAUGGCAGCCAGACUAAUGCAGAUACCACUGAGAAAAAAUCUGCAAACUCACUUGAGCAGCAGGUGGUCUGUGGGACCGAUUCUUCAAAUCAAGAUAAAGAAGUAGUGAAUGCGAAUCAUCAUAUUGACAAAGAUCUGCCAUCUUACACUGAGAAUGAUUGUCAGGAAAGAGAUGCACAUGAGAUUUCUCGUGGUGUUACAGGUGAUUUUGUUGAUGGUGUUAGAGAAGAAUCGGCUUGUGCUCGGAUGGAUGUUGACCCAUCGUCCAACUGCAUUUCUCCACCCGGAAUCAUCAUAUUGACCGAUUCUUCUCUACGUUCUGUUGAUGAUGUCACUCGGAAUCAAGUUGAUUUAGAUAGCAACCAGAGUGCUGUGGAUGCCACUCAGAAACAAGCUCUGGACUCCCUUGAGCAGCAGAUGAGUGGGACAAACUUAUCAAAUCAAGCUAGAGAAUUAGUGAAUGAGAAUGAUCGUAUGGACAAAGAUGUGUCAUCCCUUUACAGGAAUGAUCAUCAGGUCAGACAUGAGGCUUCUGGCAGUCAUAAAGGUGAUUUUGUUGAUGGUGUUGGAGAGCAGGUUGCCUGUCCUCAGAUGGAUAUUGACCAGCCAACCACCUGUAUUUCUCUGCCUGGAUUACUUUCUGUUAAUGAAAUUGCUUCUAAUGAAAGCUUUGAAAAUGGAGACAGGAUUAUAAAUAAUGCAGUUUCUGACACGAGCAAGAGUCCUCCUUCUCAUGAUGUUUCGACUGAUCAAGUCAGGCAUGAACACAAUAGUGUAAUGGAUGUGAGACCAUUAUCCAUUGAUAUCCCUUCAUCAAUGGAGUCCAUGGAGCAAUGUGAGGUGACUACUCAAAAUGUUUCUCGCAACAAGGAUCCUAAGCCAUUAGUGAGUACUAAUACAGCAGAUGCAAGUAUUGACAAGGCUUCUGAUGCACAAAUGAUUGAUACAGUUCAAUCUUUGAUGGGAAACACAGAUAAUGAAAUGAUGAAACCAGAAAGUGAUGGUGGAAGCAGGACUGAGAGCCACGGAUGUGAUGAUAAUGCCUUCUCAUUAAAAGGGGUUUGUGAUAACAAGGCUAGUAAUUCAAAUCUUCAUCACGAUGCUAAAGCAGUUGACAGCCUGAACUCAGAAUCAUUGGCAAGUUCCUUACCAAUAUCGAGGUGCAUUGAAGAACAACCUUCCGGUAAGGUUGAAACUGAAGGAGCUGGUUCUUUCAAGAAGCCAUCUCUUAGUGAUAAAUUGGUUUUUACUAGACGUACACGUCAAAAGCGUGUUGCAAACGACAAAAGUGAAAAUUAGAUUGCCACUACCAACCAGCUGGUUACUGUAAAUGAUGUCAUUUCAGAGGGAACUGGCUCAGGACAAAUUGCUGAUGGCUUGGUGGCAAGUAGUCUCUGAUAAAGGCCAUAGAGUUGCUUGUGUUGCAGCUAGUGAUGGCUAGCUCUUGCUGAUCUGUGUAAUCAAUUUUCUCUCUCCCCCUUUUUUCACUUGUAGUUGUACAUAUACUCCUAAGCAAUUCUUUGUGACAUUAUGUUGAUUUACCUGGUGAGAGAAUUUAACAUAUUUAGACAGAGCCUCUUCAUAGAGUCACUGUAGAAUCUUGUUCUUAGCAACAAAUAAUUGUCUGAAGGAAGAGCAAAUGCUUGAAAAAGUUUAUGGGGUGGAAGCGAGAAGAAACUCAGUUCAUGUCUUUACAUGCAGCCGAUUGAAAUGCUAGGUGAUGCUUUCGAAAAACAAUUAUUUGGUUGCUGUUCUAAUACAGAUGAUACAGAAAGACGGGGAUAGAAAAGAGAUAUUUUUUUAUUUUAAAAAUAUAAAAAUCUCGUUAAUUUAUUAAAUUUUCUUUGUUUUUCUCCCCAACUAAAAUAUUUUUUUCUCUCUUUUAUAUCUAUUUUUUUUCUGUUAUAUAUAUAUAUAUAUUUUUUUUUUGUCAUAGGACACUAAUUAAAUACAACAUUAACUCCAUCUCUGGCAUUUACUAUUGACUCCAUCUACGAUCAGAUUUUAAAACAAGCCAUCUAUAUUGAUUUUCCUACAUUUUUUUCAUUUUGCAAACAUUAUUCGAAUUAGAAUUUAAAUUUAUAAAAUAUAAAGUAAAAUCAUUUACCAUCUAAACCAAUACCUUAAAAUAUAUUUUUUUUCCCCGCUUUAAAUCUAGAUGUUAAAAGGAAUUUUAAUUAAAUUGCUAAAUUAAAAAGAAAAGGAAAAGAAAAAAAACCCAGUUUACUUUAAAUACAAACCUGGGCCUGGUCCGGGCCUGAAUCUCAAAGAAAAUUUGGACCCAUGGUUAGAAGAAACAGGGACAUAAAAGUAACUUCAAAAUCACUUUGAACUAGAGAGAAAGUCGGAGAAUGUGGGCAUGUUAGUGGGGAGGGUUGUGGCAAUAACCGCCUUAACCGCCACUUCCCCAAAAACAAAGAACAAAAAAAAGAAGCACGCUUCUUUUUCAUCUUCAAAAACAUCACAGACUCCUGUGUCGCAGAGAGAGUCUAGCAGCAAGAACAACAUAAGAGAGAGAAAGAGACAGAGAAGCAAGUGUCUAGUUGUCAGAAAAUGGAAGGAUUUAAGAAAGAAGAAAUAAGAAAAGGGCCAUGGAAAGAGGAAGAAGAUGAAGUACUGAUUAACCAUGUUAAAAAAUAUGGUCCCAGAGAUUGGAGCUCCAUUCGAUCCAAAGGCCUUUUACAUAGAACUGGCAAGUCUUGUCGUCUUCGCUGGGUUAAUAAGCUUAGACCCAACUUGAAAAAGUAAGUAUCAAAUUAACUUAGUUAAUUACAUUUUCAACUUGUUGCAAUUUUACAUGCAUGCAGUGAUAAAUUAUCAUGAUUUUGAUCCUGGGUUGUUUCAGUUUCUCUUUGUUUUUAGUCCAUUGCAGUAAUGUGUGAUUUUCCAGAGAUGGGAUUUCCUCUUGAUUUCUUAUUUCUUUUUUUGGUUGUGUCUGUGUGUGUGUGGUUUUAUAGUGGGUGCAAGUUUUCAGCAGAGGAAGAGAGGGUGGUUAUAGAUUUGCAGGCAGAAAUUGGGAACAGAUGGGCAAGAAUCGCUACGUAUUUGCCGGGAAGGACUGAUAAUGAUGUGAAGAAUUUCUGGAGUAGUAGACAGAAGAGGUUGGCUAGGAUUUUGCAGACUUCAGGAACACCACCUUCCUCUUUUAAUUCCAAACAACAGAGGAGUAAAAAUAAAGUUCCUGUCUUUCUGGAUGUUCCCACAUUCGAGGUAGUUGGAAAUAUUUGCAUCAUCACUUGCUUUCAAGAAAAUUUUGGGAUUUUUUAGUUGCAGAAAAAAAAAAAAAAAAGUGUUUCUUCUCUGGUCUCUGUUGAGGACUUCUGGUAGUAUUUGAUUAUUUGACUCUAUGAAAGGUUUUUUCAGUAAUUUUUUUUUACCUGUUGUGGAAGGACAAUUUACUUUCUUCUUGUUUUGUUAUGUGUUAAGGCUCCAAUGUUCAGUUCUUCAAUGGAGGAAGAGGUAUCCUCAAAGGCUUGCUCAUCAUCCUACUUGGAGAACCCUGAACAGAUAAGAAUGAUGCCAUUACCGCCAUUGGUUAAAUCUGAGUUGCCAGGCUGUGAUGCAAAUCUUGUUCAAUACGAGCCUAUGUCUGGAAUUCCCUUUCCUCAAAUCCCACAGCCCCAGCCAGACCUAGUAUUCUCCCCAGAAAGCCAUGAACUCCUGGCUAGGCUGGAUGACCCUUACUUUCUCAAUGUGCUUGGAACAAUAGACGCUCCUGAACUCGGAGAUACAGCACAAUUUUCACUUGGGCCUCCAUUGUUUGAUCCAGUAUCAAGUUGUAUGAAUAGUCCAAGUGAUGUAAAAAAUCCUGUGACCCCAGAUACCCUCUUCGAUGAGUUGCCACCGGACAUGUUUGAUCAUAUUGAGCCGUUUCCAAGUCCUUCAGAGUGGUGAAAGACUGAUCACAGGGCUGUUUUUAUGUGGGUGUAGAAGGAUGAUUUAUUGAAUAGUUUCUUCAGGUGAAAAAUUUGGCAUGGCUCUUAUGAAAUUGUUGGUCAUUUGACUGCUAUACUUUGUACUAACUCCAGAACUAUAAAUGUGACGGUUUGCCACUAGUCUCUCUCUCUCUCUGAUAAAGAUGUGAAAUUGACUGCUAAACAUAAAAUUCCAGCCCGUUCGUGCUAAUUUCAACGGCUAAUCUUCUUUUUUUUUUCUUUUUCAUCUACUUUAUUUAUUUAUUGGCUGUUCAGUGAGUCGCAGAACCCGAGGUACAGAGCAAGUGUUGCCUUGUCGGGUGUAGCAUCACCAUGUCUCUUUCACUCUCUUUUACUCGACUUAUACCAGCAUCGCCAUGUCUCUUUCACUCUCUUUUACUCAUUCUCUACCGGCAUCAACAUCCGAUAGAUGGCAAGGUUGUACUAUUGUGGGUGAUCUAGACGUACAGAAGUACCCCCUUUUUUUCAUGAUGGUUGAAAGCAAUGUUCAAGAGAAGUAAAACAGCUUAUUAUACAAACUCUUUCCCUCUUAUAAAGUUGGACAGGCUUAACCCCUCACAUCACCGAUAUGUUAAAAGAAAAUAUAAAGCUGAGCUCAACCCGUCUAUCCUACGGUAAAAAAAAAAAAAAAAAAAAACCAUCAGAACAAGGAAUUCAACAUUUUCCGCAGAAAGGGAUUCAAACAACAUUUUCCCAAAGAAAAGUUUCCGCAAUCGAUACAAUAACAAUUCAAUUCUCUGAUGAAACAACGAUAUGCAAUUGACUUGUGUAAUCAAUUUGCCCUAAAUUAAAAAUCCCUUUGAUCAGAGUUCUAGUAAAAAACACAAACAAGUGCAGCUUAAAACAGCCUACAAAGAUUGACGGAAGGCAUGUCUAAAAUGGUGUUUGGUAUAGAAAAAAGGUCACAUAGCAUCAUCCAUGGCACCGUUGGCCACAGGGAUUUUGUAACCAAUGCCGGUUCUACCAUUAUGAGUAAGCACCUCAAACUCUCCAGCAGUAAAUGACUUGUUUUUGUGGAAAACACGUCUUCUUAGUUGCGAAUAUGCACAGUACUCUACAGCAUCAACUGUUAUGUCUUCCAAAAAUGCAGAAACUGAAACUCCUACUCCUUCCCCUGAAUUUACAAGAAAGAGGUACAUCAGAAGACCUCACAUGAUUAUUUCUUAAGCAUGCAGCAAAAAGUUUUGAAGACUUAUUUCAUGCAUUUCCUACCAGACCUUGAGGGAAUUGGGUGUUGCAGAUUAGCAAACAGGAGAUAAUUAAAACUAGGCCAGCCAAAUACUGAGCUUACCGUGUGUGACAAGCAGCAAGUUUUCUGAAGGGUAUUUAUCUGCGAGCGUCUUAAUAACUCGUUCAUAUCUAGUCCUUGCACCCAUCACAGUCUCUUCCCAUUGUGGCAGCUACAAUUCCUCAAGAAAAUAACCAAAUAUCAGACAUGAUGACGUGCAACGUAGGCAUGUACCUUAUUACUCUUUAAUGCUCUUUUCCCUUAACCAAACAGUGUUUCCUAUACUUACCUCUUCAUACACUGGUUUCACAGCACGAUCCACUGUCCCCGCUGGUAGCAAGGCUUGAAGCUCUGCGAUAUUGAAUCCAAAGUUCCCAUCUUUGGGCACGGAAACACGCCUAAUGGCUUCCCUAUUCAACAUCUCACACAAACCAUACUCAAUAGAGACCUGAAAAUGUACAAUCAACAGUUAAAACACAAAAGCCUUAAAACAAAUGGAGAUCCAGUCAAACAACAUGAACACCAAAAUAACUACAAUCAACGAUACCAUUACACAAACGAAUAAAAUAUGAAAAAAAUAAAAAAAAUGAGACCCCAAAUGAAUAAUUAAUUACUAAGUUAGCAUGAACUUUCAGAAAGAUUUAAGCUCCCAAAUGCCAUUAUCAAUUCCAUUAACAUCUUAUAUAAAUUUCUAAAUACGUUUCCAAAACUAACUAGUAAAAAAUAUAUCAAAUCCUUCAAGAGUAUACAUGAAAAUAAUUGAAAUUGAAAUUUAUUUUGAACUGAGCUCGAGAAGCUUCAUUCAUUUCAUAGUACUUAUCAAAGUACAUAGGUCACUGUUUCAUUGAUUUUGACUAAAACCCGACCGGAUACGCAACCAAGUCUCGGUUCACUAAGGCUAGCAUUAAAAAAAAAAAAAACGAAUACUUAGCUCUCUAUUAAGUCAUCAUUUAUAAUCAUAUACUUAAAAACAAAACAAACUUAAAAAGUUCCUAAUCAUUUAUAAUCUAAACAAAAAAAAAAAAAACUUAAAACCAUGAUCAUCAGUAAUCAACCAACUUAUCUAGCUAAUCAGUUCCUUAUCAUUUAUAAUCUAAACAAGUUGCCGUAUUGUAAAUGUGAAAACGGAAAAAAAGAGAACACCUGCCUUGAGUUUAGAGGGAUCGAUGGCGACACCGUGGCUACUAAAAAUGUCAGGCCCAUCGUUGACUGCGCAGAGGACGGAGACAACCUCGGAGGCGGUCUGGAUACAACGGAGGAAAGGAGAAACAAAGACCCGAUGGAUUGGGAAGCCAAGAUUGGUUUUAAGUUUCCGACCCGUACGAAAAGCUCUUAACCGACCCGCUUCUACAAGAGGUGGGUCCCAUGGUCUAGUGGCAGUUGUGAUCCAUGAUGGCUCGAAGUUAUCGAUUCGGUCACCGUGUCUCAUGACGACAACGUUUUGCUGGUGUUUAACAUCGUUAUUUUCAGGUGAGGUAGGGUCCAUUGUUGUUUUUGUGGACGUGAGCUCGGAGUGUGGAGGUUUAAGAGGAAAUGUGUUAUAUAUAGACAGAGGAACGAGAAAACGUUCUUUUAAGUGUGUUUCGUGGAAGAAGAACAUGUAGCGUAAGAACAUGUACACUCCCAUCCUAUCAUUUUCUUAUUCCACUUUCCUUCAAAUUUCUCUCUCUCUCUCUCUCUCUCUCUAUAUAUAUAUAUAUAUAUAUAUAUAUAUAUAUAUAUAUAUAUAUAUAUACUUUAUUAAAAAAUAAUAUAAAUCAUAUUUUGAAACCUUAUCUAAUAACUUAAUUAAGCUAUUGGGUUGAAUUGUUUCUUUAACAUGAUAUCAAAGUUUUGAUGGCCAAGCGAUCACGAGUUCGAAUCUCACCAUCUCUAUUUAUUUGAUAAAAAGUUAAGUACAAGGUAAUAUAGAUCUAUGUAAGUUUCAAGCUCAAAGGGCUUUUACUUGAGCGGGUAUAUUAGAGAAUAAUAUAAAUCAUAUCUUAAAAUCUUACCUAAUAGUUUAAGCUAUUGAGUUGAAUUGGUUUUUGACAUAUAGGUUAAAAAAUAAAUGAUAAGAUUACUAUUUAGAUUAGUUUUUGUUUAUUUAAUAUGUUUUGGAUUAAAAUAUAAUUAAUUAUUACUGUUUAGGGGUAGGAAAAAAACAAAAUAUGUUUUUUUAUCUUGAAGAUGUAAAAAAAUCAUUCUAAAAACAUAUUUUAUAUCUCCAAUUAAAUAUAUUUUUAUUUUUAUUUGUUUUUUCUUUUUCAAAAUAUUAUCCAAACAAAAUCUUAUAUUUCACUUUUAUAACGGUAAGAUGCAAAGUUUUGAUGUAUGGUAUAAAGAUCCACGUGUGUAAAAUGAAUUUAAAAUAUUCGUCUUUGUUUUAAAGGUUUUUGAGUUAGUCAACCGUCAAUGAUGGCGUGUGCAGCAAUUUCUUUUUUUUGUAGUUUUUUUUGUCAAAUUCAAAAUCAAGAAGUAAUAUUAUGAAACUGUUGUUUGUCUAAGGGUUUUUUUUUAAGAUUAUUGAGAGAUUGUAUUUUAAAGUGUUUUUUUAUUUAAAAAUAUAUUAAAAUAAUAUUUUUUUAUUUUUAAAAUUUAUUUUUGAUGUAAAUUCAUCAAAAUAAUCCAAAAAUAUUAAAAAAUUAAUUUUAAAUAAAAAAAUUAAAUUUUAUACAAAUGAUAUUUUGAACACACUAGUGAUUUGAAGACUUAAGAAGUAAUGAAUAUCACUAAGGUCUUUCAUAUGAAAAGUGGCAGAAAGGUGAGCAAUAAUCUUGAUAAUUUGUGAAGAGAAACUUCUUGUUAAAAGUAUAUCAUCAACAUAAUAAGUAAAAGAAGAAUGUCUUAUUCUUGAGUUUGAUAGAAUAAAAAUUGAUCAUACGGAUAUCGUUUGAAACCCAUCUGCUGGAUAUAAGUACUGAAUCUUAGGUACCAAGCAUGAGGGGCUUGCUUUAAACCGUACAAAGCUUUAUGGAGAUGACAAACAUGAUCAUGAUGAGAGGAACCCUUGAAACAUGAGGGUUGAGCCAAGUAUAUUUGUUCUUGUAAGUCACCAUGAAGAAAGACAUUACUAACAUAUAGUUGUUUGACAUACCAGCCUUGAGAUAACCUAAUGGUAAGGAUUAACCAAAUAGUACUUGGUUUGAUUACUGGACUACAGGUUUUAGCAUAAUCUAGACUUGAUAAUUGUGUAAAUCCAUGAGCCACUAGUUGAGCUUUAUACCUUUCAAUAAAGCCAUCUGACCGUGUUUUGAUUUUAAACACUCAUUUACUGCUAACAACAUUCAUGUUUGGUUGUCUAGGUACCAAUGUCUAGGUUUUGUUGGUGUGAACAACAUCCAUUUCAACUUGCAUUGCUUGUUGCCAUUGCGGAUGACAAAGAGCAUGUUGAAGUGAAGGUGGUUCUUGUGGUUGAGCUGCAAGAUGAGAAAAAAAGCAAGCAAGUAUUGGAUGUCGUAAAGAGAAGAAUACCUUGGGUUUCAGCUUCUAUGUUUGAGCUCGUGUAAUCCUAUGAUGAUGUCGUUAUGAAGCAGUUCGGUGGUAAAACAUUGAACUCUGGUGCAGUGGAUGGAGAAAUAUGUCCAGGAAUUGGAGACUGAGGUGUUGACACACCUUGGAUAGUCGUUGCUGGAACAUGAUGUAUUACUUAUUGAGCUAAAAUAGGGGAUUUUUCUGUCAAGGUCUUGAAUAGUUGAGGAAGUUCUCUAACUUUAAACAACUGAAAAGCAUGUGUGCUAGGUUCCUGCAUGCAUCUAUAGGGAAAUUGAAAUUAAUUGAAUUUCACAUGGAGAGAUAUAUAGAUGCGACUUGUCUGAGGUUCAAAACAACGAUGUACUUUGUGAUUGUUUGAGUAACUAGUAAAAACACACCAUGUAGACUUAAAGUCCAAUUUUGAUCGACCAAAUGGUGCAAGUAAUGGGUAGUAAGAGCACCCAAGAACUCGUAGAGAUUCAUAAGCAGGAGUAGAACCAAAAACCAUUUCAUGAGGUGACUUGUAACCAAGAAUUGAAAUAGGCAAUACAUCAUAUUCUUGAGAAUAAAUCCCAAUAGAUAAAAUAGAAAAUAACAGUUAUUAUCUCUUGUAAAUUGAGAGACAAACAACAAUUUCUUCUUAAUUGUAGGAGCUACAAGAACAUUAUUUAGCUUAAGAUUAGUAGUAGGAAAAAAUAAUGUGUCUAGUGCCAGUGAUAAGUAAGUCAUGACCAUUGCUAACCAUGACAAAAUCGUUGCCAAGACAAGGGUUAAUACCUUGUACUUCAUU
rnacentral:lncRNA from 1 species